UUACAUCCCAGAAACCAUGCUCCAAAACCACACGAAACACAACCAUAAGCCUCUACUCUAGUUUUUUUUUUCCUUCCAACAAAGGCACUAUAUAUAUAUAGCCAUACAGAGAGAGAGAUAAUUCAAAAACCAACAAGUUAUUUCAGCAAAAAAUUAAACAUUCUCCAAAUAUAAAAUAUCCAAGAGUUUUGAAGAAUCAAAGAUUAGAAAAUGAGUUCAACGGGCAGAGCAUGGGUUACAGCAGUGAGUUUGGGAGUAGUAGAGGCAUUAAAAGAUCAAGGAGUUUGUAGGUGGAAUUACACAAUCAGAGCCAUAAAUCAGCACGCUAAGAACAAUCUACGCUCAUAUUCACACGCCAAAAAGCUUUCAUCUCAAUCUUCUUCUUCUUCUUUGGUUUCUGCUAACAAAUUAGAAUUGAAAAAGGUGAAGCAGUCUGAGGAAUCUCUGAGAAAAGUCAUGUAUUUGAGCUGUUGGGGGCCUAAUUGAUCGAAUCCUCACAGCAGCUACAUUUAAUUAGUUUCAUCUUUCUGUACAUGUAAAGUCUUUGACAAUAUUGUAAACGAUUUUGAGAGCUUGGGCUAAAUUGCCCCCAUCAACUCUUGUGGAAAACAAAUUUCUGCAAUCCAAUUUCGAAACAUCAUCAAAUUUACUAGCAAUCAAAUGACAGCACUAUAACAUAAACAGUUUUUAGCGUGAUAAAUAUUUUCUAAGAGUGUUAAAAUAUUUAUCAGUAUUAAUUAAAUUGUUAUUGAUUCAAUCUAACUAUAGGUUUUAAAAGAUAUUUUAAAAAAAAAUUAAUUGCCACUAAAAAUAUAUUUAGAUUAAUUAAUUGUCUAGUUGCCAAUUUAUAUUAUCAAAAUUAAUGUAGAAAAACAGAGUUAAUUUUAGAAGAAAAUCAUAAUAAUAAUCGAAAGAAUCGACAAGGCAAAAUAGUCUAAAGAAUCAUUCAGAAAAGUUAUUUACUUGACCGGCUGGGGUCCCAAGUCCCACUUUUUAUUUUAAUUUUAAUUUCAAAAUAAUUUGCAGCCCUAUAACCUCUGUCACAAUCUUUGCCCAAAUUCCAAUUUGAUCAUUUCCUUCUAUUGCAAUUACUCCCCAAAUAAAAGAAGAAGGGGUAUGAUUGCUAAUAGGAAAUAAUUACAAGAUGAACUAAUAAUUUGGCAGAUCAAAUAGUAUAUGUUGUAUCGCUCCAGAACUCGAACCCGUUCAGUUUUUUUGAUUUUUCCGCUCUUUCAUAUUCAUAUUAAAGUUUGAUUAAAUCUAGAUUAAAGUAGGGGAGUCUCACAUUAAUGAUAAAACACUCAUUAAUAAAGGCAACAUCGAAUUUGAGGAAACUCGAAACUGUGCUCUUUUGGUUAAGAAUAAGUAAUCACAACUCUUGUUAGUGAACUCAAACCAAUUAUAUACGCUUCUAUUUGAUUUUCAAGGGAAGUGAUACUUAUCCUGAACAAUUGCUUCAUAACAUUCAGUUAUUCACACGCAAACUAACAGAGGCGGACCUACAUUGAUCCGUGAGAUUGCAUGUGCAACCGAUAACUUUAUAGAUACCUUAAGUAAGGAUUAUAUAUAUAAUUGUGCACUUCAAUAACUUGAAAUUCAUCCAGAUGAGAUGGCAUGUGCAUCCGAUAACUUUAUAGAUACCUUAAGUAAGGAUUAUAUAUAUAAUUGUGCACUUCAAUAACUUGAAAUUCAUCCAGAUGAGAUGGCAUGUGCAUCCGAUAACUUUAUAGAUACCUUAAGUAAGGAUUAUAUAUAUAAUUGUGCACUUCAAUAACUUGAAAUUCAUCCAGACGAGUUGGUUAAAGCCGCAACUAUUACCCACCAUAUUGUGGGUUCGAGUCUAGCACACCCCAAUCUUCAAAUCCUGAAAUAGCCUCUACACACUAAAAGGAAGUUGUAAAAUACCAAGUUCUUUUUGAAAAAUAAAAAUUACUCAAAUUUACCUAAAUGUCAAAUAAAUUUACUAUAAAACAAAUGUGCUAUUCUUAGAACCAUCCAAGUUCUGAAUUCUCCAAAAUUCCCGUUCCAUUUUUUUCGUCUAUGCUUUUGAGAAAUAAUGAUGGUUAAUUUAGAAAAUAAAUAAUUAAUAUAAAAAAUAAAUUUCUUAAAAUAUACUAUUAAAGAUGAUAAAUAAAAAUGACAAAAGUGUGACGUGCUCCAACUCUUGUCUUAUUUUAAGAAAAUCACAAUGAAUGAAACGUCUAGAAAACCACUGGCUGUAGAACCCACAGUUACACAAAAACCAGUGGCUCAUCACUUUCUAGGUACUCUCUUUAUCCAAUUUACUCUUCAGCUCACUGCCUAUAUAUUCAGGGCCCUUAGCCCCAACUUGUAAACAUCAUCUCCUAAAUCAUCAAAUCUACUAGCAAAAGCAGAAAAACAGAGUUAAAUUUUAGAAGAAAUUGAAUCAAAAUGAGUCUAAGCAGGAGAGCGUGGAUAGUAGCAGCCAGUGUUGGAGCAGUGGAAGCCUUAAAAGAUCAAGUUGGAUUGUGUAGAUGGAAUUACCCAUUGAAGUCAUUGGCUCAACACACAAAGAAUAACAUGAGAUCUUAUUCUCAAGCCAAGAAACUUUCUUCUUCAUUAAUUGCGAAGAAUGAAAAGGCAGAGCAAUCUGAAGAAUCAUUGAGAAAAGUUAUGUAUUUGAGCUGUUGGGGUCCAAAUUGAUUGUAAUUAAAUAGGACUACUGUCUAUUUUGAAAAUUAUAUGAGAAAACUCCAAUACGGUGUUGAUAUAUUUACAUAACUUUUUGUCAGCUAUUCCAAUAUUUCUGCAUUACUUCAAUAAAAUACUAUAGUAUAUGGUUUUUAAAAUCUGAAAUUAGAAAUAGAAUCAAGAUCGAACAGCAUCUCAAAAGAUCAGUACAAAUUAAAAAUAUUAAAUCACGAAGAGUGGAAAUUGAAUUGCAUCUUCUUAACAUAAGCUUAGGUAUAAAUUGAUAAAUUUGUCUGUAGGUUUCUUGUGAAUAGUCUUUACCACUCCCUCUUUUUCUCCGCACACUUUUAUUAUUUAAUAUAAUAUUAUCAACAUGUCCUUUACUUGCUUUUUUUCAUGAGCCAACUACGUGGAUUUUUUAUUUAUUUGGAUGACGGUUAGAUUCGAUCUCAGAAUCUCUAUCUGCUGUGAUACUAUGUUAAAGUGUGUGAUCAUAUUAUCUAAAAAUAAAAGGAGCACAUGUUUAUUAUUUAAUAUAAUAUUCUCAACAUAGUUUUAUGCAUAUCGUCUAUUUCCAUAUCUCUUUGAACCGUAACGAUUAACAAUAUGUAUAUUGACUUAUUUUGAUACUUUUUCAUUCUAAAAGUUAUUCAAAAACACUUUCAAAAUUAAAAAAUAGCUUAAAAGUAAAAAACUACUAAAAAUAAAUCAAUUCAAACACUCAUUUAAAUGUAUACUAAAAGAAUAUCUAACAUACUUUAGCAUACCAAAAAUAUAUCCUAUAUAGAUAAAAUGGUGUGAAGAUCGUGACAAAAAAGUUAGUAAGUUGGUCAAGUUUUGUCUCGAAAAAAAGUUAUUGAUUUAUCAAUAUUAGAUUAUUGGUUUAGCGGCUUUGAUAAUGGUUUUGAUUUUUUUGUUAUCGGGUUAUCGGUUUUUACGGUUUGAGGUUUUUUCUUAACGAGUUAACCGAUAACCGACCGAUAACCGAUAGUAAAUUAAAUAAUUAUAUUUAUACCAUUUUUGUAUAUAAAGUUCUUGACUUAGAGUUUGAUUUCCUACUUUUAUUUUUUGUUGUCUCAAACACUUGAUUAUUCUAUAAUGUAAAAGUGUUUGCUUUUGAGCAAGAUGUAACUUGUGAACUCAUGUGCAUGGUUUAAUUGAUUUGUCACCUGAUUUCUAAAUGAUUUUAAAUGUUUUUUGUGUGUCAAAUCUUAACCGUUAAAUCUAUAAGCGAACCGAUAACGAUAAAAAAUCGAUAAAUCAAUAACCAAUAAGCCAAUAUCUUAAUGAUUCUAUAACGAUUUAGCAUCUCUACAAACCGAUACGGCGAUACCCAAUAAGUCAAACCAAUAAACUUCAAAAUCAAACCGAACCAACCGAUAAACAACCCUAAUAUAGUUACUUUGAGUACAUAUUAUUAUUUUUAAUAUUUAUUGUGUUUUAAUCAUCGUAUUAUAUUUUAUUGUUAUCUUUUUUGCCCUUUUUAAAGAGAAAAUUACGCGGUUAAGCAAACUUAUACUACUUAAUUACUCAUCAUAACUAUAGUUUGGUAUAAUCAUAUAUACAAAUGCAUAUGUAUAAUAUACAAUUAUCUAACCUAUAUACAUAUACAAUUCACCUCUCUCUCACUCUAUGCCCUCUCUCGCUCGCCUCUCCCCUCCCUCUCCCAGUCUCGUUUGCCAUAUAUACAAAUGCAUAUGUAUAAUAUACAAUUAUCUAACCUAUAUACAUAUACAAUUUACCUCUCUCCAACUCUCUUCCCUAUCUCGCUAGCCUCUCUCCUCCCUCUCCCAAUCUCGCUUGCCUUAUAUACAAAUAAAUAUGUAUAAUAUACAAUUAUCUAACCUAUAUACAUUUACAAUUCACCUUUCUCCUACUCUUUCCCCCCUCUCUCUCCCAGUCUCGCUUGCCUCUCUCCUCCUUAUAACAUGUAGCUACGAAUUGUAAUUAUCAAACUAUAGCUAUGGAGAGUAAUUGGGCUAUUUUUGAAUGGCUAUAUGUGAAAGUUCCCCCUUUUUAAAUGUCAUGUACUGCUUUUCUUUUUAAUCGACACAUUUCUUUUAAUUAUUACUCUAUUGAAUAUCCUUUCCCAUGGUUUGGGCGCAAGUGGAUUUUCUUUAAUCUCGCCAAUCGGUGUGCAUCCUUAUUUAAAUUUUAUUUAUUUAUAUAUUUUAGCCUCAUGCAUGCCAGAACAUGUGUCACUCCUAAAAACAGUGUGCUCUCCAAAUAUAGUACACGUAGUAAUAUAAUAAUUGAAGUGCCAACUUCACCCCAAAGGGGUAGAAACGUACAUUCAUAAACACACACUUAACUCCAAAAUUGUAAAACCAUGUUCCAAAACCACAGGAAAAUGGAAAUAGCACAGCCAAAAGCCACUAGUUUUAUUGAGCAAUACUUACCUAUAUAGUAUAUAAUAACAAUAGAUAUAAAAUCAUCCAUUCAUCAUCCCAAGUAAUUGAAUCCAACAAAUUAAACACAAAAAGAACAAGUCUUUGUAAAAGGAAAUAGUAAGCCAAAAUUUGAAGAUGAGUUCAACAAGCAGAGCAUGGGUUACAGCAGUGAGUUUAGGAGUAGUAGAGGCACUAAAAGAUCAAGGAGUUUGUAGGUGGAAUUACACAAUCAGAGCCAUAAAUCAGCACGCAAAGAACAAUCUACGCUCAUAUUCACACGCCAAAAAAUUAUCUUCUUUGGUUUCUACAAAAAGUGAAAUGAAGGAGAAAGCUAAGCAGUCUGAAGAGUCUCUUAGGAAAGUUAUGUACUUGACCUGUUGGGGUCCAUAUUGAAUUCCAACUGUUAAAUUUUUUGAUAUUCUUAUGUACAUAUUUAUUCCUUGAGAGUUUAGGAGAAUGUUGAAGCAGUAGCUUUAUAGCUUGAGGCUUAAUUGCCUUGUCAAUAUUAAUAGGAAAACUUUUUUUUCCUAGUCCAUAUUGAUAUUGACGCAGUUCUCUAAUGAAUCAUGAAUGAACAAUGUGAAAUUUGUUGAUUUGAAACUUUCCAUCUAUUACCAAUGUAAAAUGGUUCAAAUUUACCUCUAAAUUAUAUAAAAUAGAAUUAGUUUUACCUCCAUUAAUAUUUUGGGUUAACUAUAUUUUACCAUUGCUAAAAGUUCUUAUUUUUGAAGAAAGCUUAGAAUACAGUAAUGCCGUACUCACUUCGUUUCUAUUUAUAUAUCACCAUUUUAUUAUUCAUGCAUUCAUAAAAAUCAAGUAAAUUUAUCAUUGUAUUCUUAUUCAGGCUUCGGUGGUCUUUUAAGUUUCAUGCCUUGAGUUUUUGGCCAAAAUCAUUCUUAAACUAUAUCUCAAACUUAAACUACAUUCUUAAAGUAUCAUUCUUGGCAAAAAACAUCCUUCAAGUAUUUAAAAGUGAACAAUUUUCUCUUCUACUUGAAUUUAUCAGAAAACUAACAUAUACCACAAAAAUCAAGUGAUCAUCCCCUCGUAAUUAUUAUUCUAAGAUACGUCAAAAAUUCUAUUGUGAACUUUUUCGGUAAUUGAGUUUAGCAUUAUGGAAAAUCUUUUAAUUUGACAGUUUUUUUUUCAAUUAUUUUUCAUGUAAUUAGAUAUUAAAAAUAUUAUUAGUCGAAAUAUGUUUCUUCUCAAUUGAAUAUCGUAGAAGCGGUGUUUGUUGGAGACUUCCGCUUCUAAAAAUAUAGAAUCAAACUCAAAUGCGAGAAAUAAUCAAUAUUUUAAUCACUUUAAUAUCAGAUUGGCCCAAAAAUUUAUUGAUCUAAAUAUAAUUUGGCUAUGAAAAAGGAAAAGAUAAUUAAGCUUUAACUUCUCUAUGGUACUAAAUGAGAAAAAGAGCAAAUCAUGUAUGCUCACACCUUCCAAAUAUUUUUUAUUUCCGUAAACAAUAGUCUCUAUGAUUUUUAAUAUUUUUUUCAAGAACUUCUUAUAGGAAGUAGUGAAAUUAUGCAGGAAAACUUUUGUUGAUAAUCACGUGAGCUGCUUGUGUUUUUGUAGGAUCCCUUAAUUUUUUGACGAUAUCUAACAAAAGGAUGAAAAUUGUUCACUUUUAAAUACUUGAAGAAUGUUUUCUGCUAAGAAUAAUACUUUAAGAUGUAGUUUAGGUUUGAUGUAUAGUUUAAAGAUGUUUUUGGCCAAAAACUAUUUCACGCCUCAUAACAAACUAGUAUUCUUAUUUAGUGAUCUAGAACUUAAGUUUUCAAUAAAUAAAUAUAAAUUAAUUUAUUUGAUUAAUUAAAUUAAUCAAUGAAUAUGAAUUAAUCAUUUAAGUUUCUUAUAUCGGUUAAAUUUUUUUAAUCUCUUUGUUCUUUCUAUUCUCUAGGAAAUCUUCAUGUCUGCAAAAAUGACAUAGAAGUUUCUCUAUAACAAAGAUUAGUUAAUUUGGACCCCAACAGCUCAAGUACAUAACUUUCCUCAAAGACUCUUCAUAUUGCUCUGCCUUUUCUUUCUUUGCAAUUAAUGAAGAAAGUUUCUUAGCUUGAGAGUAAGAUCUCAUGUUAUUCUUUGUGUGUUUUGCCAAACACCUCAAUGGGUAAUCCCAUCUACACAAUCCAACUUGAUCUUUUAAAGCCUCCAUUGCUCCAACACUGGCUGCUACAAUCCAAGCUCUCCUGCUUGAACUCAUUUUGAUUAUUUUUUUUCUCUUGAAAGUAUUUCUUAUGAUGAAUUGGUUCUCUGGUAUUUUGAUGAUUUUGAAAAUGAUGUUUGGGAGUUUGGGGUUAAGGCUGAAUUUCUAGUGUACCUAAAGAGUUAUAAACAAGUGGCUCUUUUUAGUUAUAUAACUGUGUGCUCUUUGUAUUGCAGGCAGCUAGUGGUUUUAUUGUAUGUCUUUUUAAUUAUUUAAAUUCAUUUGUUUUUUUGCUAGAGUUGCAUUUGCUUCAAAAACUUAUCUGGAAUGCUUCGAAUAUUCUAAAUUUAAAGAUGAGCAAGUGCUCUAGCCUCUAGGAACAAGUUAAGAGAGCAUGAUUGGCACCCAGUUGGAUCAAGUGACUUUGGAUAACCUUCUCCUCCCGUCACCGGUUGGAUCAAACUACUUAUAUGAUGUGACUUCAGUUCUUAGGUUAUUGAAAUCAUUCAUCAGCAAAGAGGCGUGUUUUGUUCCCUUAACUCGAAUAACGAAAAUUACAAGCUUGAUAGAUUUGAGGCAUGUUGUGUUUAGUUAACUCGAAUGAGGAAAAUUACAAGCUUGAUAGAUUUGAACAUAAUCGAAGUAGCUCCUCAUCCAUGUCUAAAACCUUCCAAGUGCCUUACCCUGGUCAGAUCGCUCCCGAAUUUGCUAGGGACUCGUAUGAUUCAAUAUACUAUGCCAAGGUUAUGUAUCUUGAGGUAUGCCUUUUCGAUACUCCCUAAGAGGCCUUCCAUUUAUUACUUGUUUCUUUGCAUUUUGAUGCUUAAUACAUACACAGAAGUUCACUACUAGUUCAUGUUCAAGAAUAUGGUAAAAUAUUUAGGCAUUGCUCCAAAAUUUAGCUGAUUGGUUAAACAUUGAUCAUUGAUGACAAAUUGCAGGUCGAGCCUUCCAUUUAUUACUUGUUUCUUUGCAUUUUGAUGCUUAAUACAUACACAGAAGUUCACUACAAGUUCAUGUUCAAGAAUAUGGUAAAAUAUUUAGGCAUUGUUCCAAAAUUUAGCUGAUUGGUUAAACAUUGAUCAUUGAUGACAUAUUGCAGGUCGGUCGAAGGUUAUCUGAAGUCAAAAAGAUGAAAGUAUGUAGUGGGCUGAGCUACGAGAAGCUGUCGUUUGAGGCUUGUAGCCACCUUGCUCGUAAUAAAUAUUUCCCUUUAAAAUCUCCUGGACAAGCUCUCAUCACAUAGCAAGUGAAGCUCUAAAGCUUGCUCUUGCUUCAAAGAAACCAAUCAAGUUAGCUCGAUUCUCCUUUUAGUUUCGUGGAAACAAAAAAUUCAGGAAACAAAGAUCAGCAGAUCGUGUUAUAGGCAGGAAAGUUGGAUCUUUCAAUUGAGAAUGAGAAGCUCAAAGAACAUUUACAAGGUAUGCAAUGGAGAGUGCUAGAAUUGGAAAAAGUUUGUAGGAAAAUACAAAAUCAAAUGGCAAAGAUCUUGAAAUCAAGAGUAUCAAGCCAUAAUAAUGCCAGAUCAUUACCUUGACUAGGAGUGGCAAACGAGCGGGUCGAGUCAAAUAUGAGUCGAUCGAAAAUGAAUUAAAUAAAAAUGGGUAAAAUACUCGACUCAUAUUUUAAAUGAGUAAACAACGAGUUACCCAAUGGAUAAUAUGGGUGUCCAUAUUACCCAUAUUAUUCCAUGAGUCAAGUUUCUCGCAUGCUCAAUGAGCUCCAAAAUGACCAAGUCAUAAAGCAUUUAAAGACAUUAAAUGAUCAAUUUGGAUAACGAAGAUAACUAAAUCAGACAAUUGUGACUGGAACACCUUUGUCAAAUGACAAUUAAAUUUGCCUAAUCCACCAAAAUUGUUAUUGGAAAAAAGAGAUACAUUUGUGAACUUUACAGAAAGUUGUUUUGUUUUCUACUCAAUCAAACUCAAUUGUUUGCAUCAAUGUCGUCUCUUGUGUGUUACUACAUGACAAUUUUCUAAAAGUUCUUCAAACACUUCUUCCAUCUUAUGUCAUGACCUCUAAAGCCUCUAUGGUUUGUGGGUAUGUUAAAUAUUGUUGCUGCAAUAUGAGACGGUGUUAAUCCAGCUUCCGCCAACUGAUCAACUGGAGAUCCACGAUUAAUUGCUCGGCAGCAUGUUAACUCCAAAAAGACGAAGAUGCUGCACCUACAAGGCCACCACUUCCAACAAAAUUUCCACAAACUCUCAGUGAUUUCUGCUAUUGUGGAUUGUCCUUUGAGAUGCGAUGAUUUGACAGAAAAAGAAAACAAAAAAAAUAAGAUCAUAGGUAUGCUGAAACUUUUAGAUAGCUAAUAUACCAUAUGCAGGAUAUUGAAAAAUUGAAUUUGCUUUCUCACUUUUCUCAGAGAGAGAGAGAGAGUUUACCAUGCAGCUCCAGAUCCAUUUCCAAUGAAAAUUGACUCAAUGUUAUAAAUACAAACACUCUCGAUGUGCUGCUAUUAGCUUGGUUAAUGUAGAGAUUACCAUUUACAACAAAAACAAAUACACCUAAAGAGCACCUUAUUCCAAAAUGAUCAAACAAAUCUCAAUGUUCCGCUAUUAAAAGAAGAAGAUGGAUUUUGGAGAGUUGACAUCUCCUCAAUGAAGAAUCUAUACAGAAAUACCAAAUAUACUCACUACUUCACUAAUUGUAACUUGAGAGCGAUUUGCUAAAUCACUCGGUCGAAUUCGGAAAGAUCCAGAUCGAGUACAUUUUAACCAAACUAGCAAUUAGAGGCAAAUAGUGUAUUUAAGACAACAAAAAUUUAAGUAGUGUUGAUAUUUUGAUGAUAUGACAGAUCGAUUAGUAUUUGUAUGAUCAUUUUGACAUGCUUGCAAAUAAUUCUUCAACUUAAUUAUUUUGUAUUUGGUGGUCUUGAUUUCAAACCAACAAGGAGGAAGAAGAACAUCUUAAAAGAUCUCAAGUGUGUGUAAAAUUGAGUGAACAAAUUGCAAUAACAACUUAAUUUGAUUAUAAUAACACGAUUUAAAGAAGUUAAUUUUCAAAUGGAAGGAAGAACACAUCUUAAAAGAUCUAAAGUAUAAAUUGUGGGAACACAAGUUGCAUUGCAAGCAUCGAUCGGUAAUCUGAAAGACGAUCAUAAACAAGCAUUUUGCCCGUUUGAAUAUAAAUUUUCGAAGUAGUAUUUAGAAAUUUAUUAGAUUUUAAAAUAUAACACAAUUUCAUACCGAUAUAAGUCACUAACUCGGAUUUGGCUCCCCCUCCAGUAGUCCAUUUGUCUAAUUUUAUUUAGGAAAAAGGACAAAUAUAUCCCAAAUUCUUGUAUUCGUUAUACUUUGGGGACAUUUGUGCCCCUGCCAUCCAAAAAUUAAAGUAUAUAUACACUUUAUAUUAACGGACAUACACAUGUCAUAAUUUUAUCCGCUGAUUAAAUAUCGGAUCAACGGAUAAGAUUGCGCCACGUGUACCUAUUUAGUCUUCCGUUUGAAUGAUGGGCAUAUAUGCUCUUGUUUUAAGACAACAGGGACAUCAAUGUCUCAAUAGUAUGACGGAGAAUAUCUGCAUAUCAUUUACGAUAGUUCAAAAAUAUAUCUAUCCUUUUUCCCUUUUAUUUACUACAUGUGUCCCUCAAAUUAAUAUAUGGUUCAGAUUAUUUGCUAAAAUCAAUCAUUUAACCAUAGUCAAACAUUAUCUUCCUUUUUAUUAUUUGCUUUAUAUGGAGUAUAAUAAGUUACUGUAUAUUAGAAACAACGACAGUACUUGGCAGUGGUAAGAUUUUUUUGCAGUUAACAUAACUCCAAACAUUUCGGUGGUUUCAUUUUCAAGAACUUUUCCCAUGGUUUGGGCAAGAGUGGAUUUUAUUUAAUCUAAGCCAAACCAUGUGCCAAUUUUCAUCUGCAUAUAUUAUUAUCAUUAGCAUUAGACACAUCAGCACAUGUCACUCUACGUGUCCCCCAUCUAGCAGCUAUUCCAAACAACAAAGCUACAAAUUCGGUGUGCUCUUUACCCACCCACCCCAUAAUUGUGAUCAUAAAAAUAAUGUAUAUACUAAUUAAAAUACCAAUUACACCCUCCUCAAUAGUCAAUACUGAUCAUUAAGAGAUUAACCCAAGGGCAGAAAUGUACUUUCCAUCCCAGAAACCAUGCUCCAAAACCACACGAAACACAACCAAAAGCCUCUAGUUUUUUUUUUCCUUCCAACAAAGACACUAUAUAUAUAUAGCCAUACAGAGAGAGAGAGAGAUAAUUCAAAAACCAACAAGUUAUUCAAGUAUUUCAGCAAAAAAUUAAACAUUCUCACAAAUAUAAAAUAUCCAAGAGUUUUGAAGAAUCAAAGAUUAGAAAAUGAGUUCAACGGGCAGAGCAUGGGUUACAGCAGUGAGUUUGGGAGUAGUAGAGGCAUUAAAAGAUCAAGGAGUUUGUAGGUGGAAUUACACAAUCAGAGCCAUAAAUCAGCACGCAAAGAACAAUCUACGCUCAUAUUCACACGCCAAGAAGCUUUCAUCUCAAUCUUCUUCUUCUUCUUCUUUGGUUUCUGCUAACAAAUUAGAAUUGAAAAAGGUGAAGCAGCCUGAGGAAUCUCUGAGAAAAGUCAUGUAUUUGAGCUGUUGGGGGCCUAAUUGAUCGAUUCCUCACAGCAGUUAGAUUUAAUUAGUGUCAUUUUUCUGUACAUGUAAAGUAUUUGACAAUAUUGUAAACGAUUUUGAGAGCUUGGGCUAAAUUGGCCCCAUCAACUCUUGUUGAAAACAAAUUUCUGCAAACCAAUUUCGAAACAUGAUCAGAUUUACUACUCUCUGUCAAAAAAUACUAGUCCAUUAUUGAAUUUAAGAAACUAUAUAAAUAGAUGGAUUUGAAUAUCAAUAUAAUAUCUUGAACAAUGUUAUAGGAAAAUAACUAUAAUUAAAAGGGACCUUUCGCAAAUAGUCAUUCUAAUAAAUUUAAUUAUGCUCCAUAACUAUAAUUUGUAUAUUUACGGUUUGUAGCUACAGUUUAAGCUAUCCCGUUUGUAUAAUUCACGAAUUUGUAUAAUUUGCGGGUAUAUUUAUAUAAUUCAGUUAUUUUUGUAUAAAAUCAAAAUAAUGAAUUUAUACAAUUACAAAUAUCUGAAGUGUAGACAGUUAUACAAAUUAUAUUAUACAAAUUUUAAAUUAUACAAAAGUUACCCAAAUUAUAUUAUACAAAUUUCAAAUUAUAUUAUACAAAUUUCAAAUUAUAUAAACGUGUGAAUUAUACAAAACUAAAAAGUUGUGCCGCGUAAUUAUAGUUAAAAACAAGGUCGCGAAUUAUAAUUAAGGCAAAUUAUAGCUAUGCUAACUAAUUAAUUAGUAUAUGUUUGAUUAUACACAUAAUUUUUACUCAAUUAAAAAUAAGGGUAAAUUAAGACUAAGUGUAAAGUUAUCCAUUAAUUUCAUAAAGUGGAUAAGUAUUUUGAAUAUCCAAAAAUAAUAUAAUGGAUAACUAUUAUUGGACGGAGGGAGUAGCAAUCAAAAGAUCACUCUAUAACAAAAAUAAUUUUUAGCAGUAAUAAAUAUAUAUCUUAACAAAUAGUGUUAAACAUUUAUCAGUAUUAGUUAAAUUGUCAUGCGGUCCAAUAUAGUUAUAUGUUUUUAUAAAAAUAUUUUAAACAUAUUUAGUGAUAACUAUGCCAUUGUCGUUAAUAGUCAAUUUAUAUUAUCAAAAUUAAUUUAAAAAAACGGAGUUAAUUUUAGAAGAAAAUCAGAGAAGUCAUAAUAAUAAUUGAAAGAAGCGACCAAAAUAGUCUGAAGACUCAUUGAGGAAAGUUAUGUACUUGACCUGCCGGGAUCCCAAAUCCCAAUUUGAUCUUUUCUUAACAAAUGCUUUUAUUCCAAAUAUUUUUUGUAGAGCUAGAGAGUAAAAAAAGAAAAGAAAAAAGAAGAAGAAGGAUACCGUAAAUAGAGUUGAAUGGCAUUCCAACUCAAUAGAAGCACGUAUAUCGAAAUGUGGGAAAUAAUUACAAGAUGAACGAAUAAUUUGACAGAUCAAAUAGUAUAUUGUAUCGCUUCAUCAUGCUUGCAGAUAAUAUAUUUGCGUGUUAUUUUAGGAUCCGAAACAUACAUAAAUAUAGAACCACAAUUAAAAUUACUAACCUUUGUCUAACACAUAAAUUGGGUUUUGGUUUGAGUCCCGAUUAAACUCGAAUCAUCCCAGAAAAUCUCAUAAUUAUGAUAUCUUUAAUAAAGACGAUUAACUGCCUAAUCGGACUCGAGACCUCCAAAAUGAAAAAGAAAUUAUGUACACUUUUACUUGAAUUUCAAGGGAAGUGAUAUAAAGUUCACCAAGUUCUUUUUGAAAAAAUAAAAAUCACUCAAAUUUACCUAAAUGACAAAUAAAUUUACUUGAAAACAAAUGCGCCAUUCUUAGACCCAUCCAAGUUUUGGAUUCCCACUUCAUCCGUUAUUUUUCUUUUUUUGUCUAUUUGAAUUUUGUAUGCUUUUGAGAAAUAAUGAUAGGUUAAUUUAGAAAACAAAUAAUUAAUAUAAAAAGUAAAAUACAAAAAAAAAGUAUUAAGGAUGACAAAAGCUUGCCGUGCUCCAACUCGUGUCUUAUUUUAAGAAAUCACAAUGAAUGAAUGGAACGUCUAGAAAACCACUGGCGGUAGAACCCACAGUAACCCAAAAACCAGUGGCUACACUCUCUUCAUCCAAUUUACUCUUCAUGCCUAUAUAUUCAACCUUAGCCCCAACUUUUAAACAUCAUCUCUAAAAUCAUCAAAUCUACUAGCUAUCAAAACAAAAACAAAAAAACAGAGAACCAAAGCAGAAAAACAGAGUUAAAUUUUAGAAGAAAUAAAAUCAAAAUGAGUCUAAGCAGGAGAGCGUGGAUAGUAGCAGCCAGUGUUGGAGCAGUGGAAGCCUUAAAAGAUCAAGUUGGAUUGUGUAGAUGGAAUUACCCAUUGAAGUCUUUGGCUCAACACACAAAGAAUAACAUGAGAUCUUAUGCUCAAGCCAAGAAACUUUCUUCUUCAUUAAUUGCGAAGAAUGAAAAGGCAGAGCAAUCUGAAGAAUCAUUGAGAAAAGUUAUGUAUUUGAGCUGUUGGGGUCCAAAUUGAUUGUAAUUAAAUAGGACUACUGUCUAUUUCGAAAAUUAUAUGAGAAAACGUGUUGAUAUAUUUGUUGCUUUGAUGACAAAUCAGCUAUUCCAAUAUUUUUGUAUCACUUCAAUGAAAUACUAUAGUAUAUAGUUUUUAAAAUCUGAAAUUAGAAAUAGAAUUAAGAUCGAACAGCAUCUCAAAAGAUCAGUACAAAUUAAAAAUAUUAAAUGACGAAGAGUGGAAAUUGAAAAUGUAAAUUGAUGCUUUCAGGCACAUUUAUUUGCAUUUUCUUAAACAUAAACUUAGGUAUAAAUUUUUCUGUAGGCUUCUUGUGAAUAGUCUUUACCUAGAGAAAGUUUUUCUUUUGGAUUGGUCCCUCUUUCUUCAAUUUCUUUCAAUUGGAUCAGAAUAUAUUUCCAAGUCAAAUAGUUUAUUUAUGCAUAUUUCUAUUUCCAUAUCUCUUUGAACUGUAACGAUCAAAACAAUAUCAUAUUGACUUCUUCUUUUUCUUUUUAUACUUUUUCAUUUUUAAAGUUAUCCAAACACUUUCAAAAUUAAAAAAUAUCUUAAAAGUCAAAAAUCAUUAAAAAUAAGUUAUCAAGGGUAUAUCAAAAGAGUGUUUGAAAACUAUUGAAAAGAGGUGAAUAUAUCCGAUGCAACAUAACUUUAACAUACCAAAAUAUAUCUUAUAUAAGAUAAAAUGGUGUGAAGAUCGUUACUAAGCAUUGUGUGCGCCAUAGUAUUAAUCUUAUACAUAUAGUUACUUUGAUACAUAUUUAACGUUUAUUGUGUUUUAAUCAUCGUAUUAUAUUUUAUUGUUAUCAUUUUUUUCUAUAUUUUUUUAAUUAUUACUUCCGGAGAAUUACAUUAUACAUUGGAAAAGAAACGAUAUACAACUACAUUUAUGUUCAAUCAUCUGACAUUGGUUUCAUUUGAAUAUCCUUUCCCAUGGUUUUGGCGCAAGUGGAUUUUCUUUAAUCUCGCCAAUCCGUGUGCAUUCUUAUUAAAAUUUUAUUUAUUUAUUUUAGCCUCAUUUAUACCAGAACAUGUGUCACUCCAAAAAACAGUGUGCUCUCCAAAUAUAGUACACGUAGUAAUAAUUGAAGUGUCAACUUCACCUCCAUAAACACACACCUACCUCCAAAAUUGGAAAACCAUGUUCCAAAAACCACAGGAAAAUAAAAAUAGCACAGCCAAAAGCCACUAGUUUUAUUGAGCAAUACUUACCUAUAUAUAUAUAUAUAAAAAAAUCAUCCAUUCAUCAUCCCAAGUAAUUGAAUCCAACAAACACAAAAAGAACAAGUCUUUGUAAAAGCACUCACAAAAAUAGUAAGCCAAGAUUUGAAGAUGAGUUCAACAAGCAGAGCAUGGGUUACAGUAGUGAGUUUAGGAGUAGUAGAGGCACUAAAAGAUCAAGGAGUUUGUAGGUGGAAUUACACAAUCAGAGCCAUUAAUCAGCACGCUAAGAACAAUCUACGCUCAUAUUCACACGCCAAAAAAUUAUCUUCUUUGGUUUCUACAAAAAGUGAAAUGAAGGAGAAAGCUAAGCAGUCUGAAGAGUCUCUUAGGAAAGUUAUCUACUUGACCUGUUGGGGUCCAUAUUGAAUUCCAACUGUUAAAUUUUUUGAUAUUCUUAUGUACAUAUAUAUAUUCCUUGAGAAUUUAGGAGAAUGUUGAAGCAGUAGUUUUAUAGCUUGAGGCUUAAUUGCCUUGUCAAUAUUAAUGGGAAAACAUUUUUUUUCUAGUCCAUAUUGAUAUUGACGCAGUUCUCUAAUGAAUCAUGUGAAAUUUGUAGUUUUGAAACUUUCCAUCUAUUUACCAAUGUAAAAUGGUUCUAAUUUACCUCUAAAUUAUAUAAAAUGGAAUUAGUUUUACCUCCGUUAAUAUUUUGGAUUAAGUACAUUUUACCGUUGCUAAAAGUUCUUAUUUUUGAAGAAAGCUUAGAAUUCAGUAAUGCCGUACUCACUCCGUUUCUAUUUAUAUAUCACCAUUUUAUUAUUUAUGCCUUCAUAAGAAAUCAUAUAAGUUUAUCAUUGUAUUCUUAUUCAGUGGUCUUUUAAGUUUCACGCCUCAUAACAAACUAGUAUUCUUAUUUAGUGAUCUAGAAUUUAAGUUUUCAAUAAAUAAAUAUAAAUUAAUUUAUCUGAUUAAUUAAAUUAAUCAAUGAAUAUAAAUUAAUCAUUUAGGUUUCUUAUAUCGAUUAAAUUUAUAUUUUUAAGACUAAUAAAUAAAAUAGGAAAAAAUAAGAAGAACAAAACUAAUUUUUGAGCAUUUGACAUUUUUCUAUUUUUUCUGAGUAAUUGACGGUAAGAUAACAAGGAGGAGAAAAGGAAGAACAAAAAUAAUUGAAUACUCAAAAUUAAAUUAGGAAGGAGGAUUUUAAAUUUACUUUAGAUUUUGAAAGUACAUUUUACAGAACAUGUAGCCUGUCUUGAUUCCUGGUAAUAAAACCAUUGGUUUAUGAAGAAACCAGUGGUUCUAGUCCUCAGUUUCGUCUACAAAUAUUUUCCGAAUAAUAUAUUAUUUGUCUCAAUCAAUUAUGUAUAUUAGUGGAGUUAAAUUUUUUUACCCCUGUCUCAAUAUAUAUAACACUUUUCGAAUUUCGAGAUUCAAACAAGUCCAUUUUUUAUAGUAAAUUUCUCAUAUAUUUUUAAAUUAUUUUAAAUUGUCAAUUAUUGUGGAGUAUAACUUAUAGUUUAAAAAUAUAUAAAUUUCAUUUUAAAAAAUUGAAGAUUCCACGUGCAAAUUUUCAAUCAAAUUUAAAUUGUUUGAAUCUCGAAAAAUGAAAAGUGCCACAUAAAUUGAGACUGGGAAAGUAUUAGAAAGCCAAAAUAUAAAAAAUCAAAUACACAAAAAAUAAAAAAUAAAAAAAUAUUAUGCAUAUAUAUAAUAUUAUAUAUAUACUAUUAAUUAUAUUUAAUUUAUAAUUUAAUUUUUCACUAACAAGAUUCAGCUGAAAGAAUUUAAAAUAUAUGAAUCUCCAUGAAUUUUAAAUCUCAGCACAUUAGUAGAGGCUCAUUAUUCUAAAGUCUAUAAACUUUUACUUGGUAGUUGUGCAAUUUCAGCAGGAGAUCAAAUGAAUUUCUUAGGACCAGCCAGGUUCCAUCGAUUAUUCUAAAUAUGAAGUAUUUUCUUAAUUUUAAGAUAAUUAAGUACAGUAUUAUUUGAUAAAAAUUGAACAUAUAUAUAUAUAUAUAAUGUGUAAUUAAUUAAAUUAUUCUUAUGUAAUAAGUAUUUCUUUAAAAUCCAAUAUUAUUAAAAUAUAAAAAUAUAAUUAAAAAAUAUGUUAAUUUUUAUCGUGAAUUAUUUAAAUGACAUCUGUGAUAAAUAAAAAAUUGACUCUUUGUCUUUUUCUCAGUAAAAUUUGAAUACUGUCCUUUUUUUCAGGGGUAGAGUUGAGAAAAAAAAAAAAAAAAAAAAAAACAAAAACAAAAAAAAAACACUGGCUUUAGAGCCCACAGUCGCCGUAAAACCACUGGUUUAUCACUUUCUAGAUUCUUCCCCCUUUGCUUCUUUACAUCAGUACUGUGCCUAUAUAUUUAGCCCCAAUUUCUCUACAUCAUACAACUCAAAAACAUUCAAAUGUACAAGCAAUCAAAACAUCAUUGAAUCAAUUCAUAUAAUAUAUCAAAAACAAAGCAGGAAAAAAAAGUGAUUAAUUUUAUAAGGAAUUUAAUCAAAAUGAGUUCAAGCAGGAGAGCGUGGAUAGUAGCAGCCAGUGUUGGAGCAGUGGAAGCCUUAAAAGAUCAAGUUGGAUUGUGUAGAUGGGAUUAUCCAUUGAAGUGUUUGGCACAACACACAAAGAAUAACAUAAGAUCUUACUCUCAAGCUAAGAAACUUUCUUCUUCUCUGAUUGCAAAGAGUGAAAAGACAGAGCAAUCUGAAGAAUCUCUGAGAAAAGUUAUGUAUUUGAGCUGUUGGGGUCCAAAUUGAAGAUUUUAAUAGUGAUGAUAGGAGACAGUAUAAAAUGUAAAAUUAGGCUAUGAUUGUAAAUAGGACAUACUGUACUAGUUAAGGGCAUGCCAUUUCAAAGAUAAGCAUGUAUGUCGAAAUCUUCCAACCAUUGUAUGUGAAAAAACUCUAUGAAGAGAGUUGAUCUUUCGGUGAAUUCAGGCAUUAACGGAUCAACUAAUUACAUCUCUUCCAGCUAACAUGCUUAAUUACAAGUAUGCUGUAAUACUAAUGAAUAUGCAUAUGGUUUUGAAAUUUGAAGUUCUUAAAUAAUCAUUAAGCAAAUCAAGUACUCUCUUCUUUCUCUAAUUAUUUGUUUAAUUUUUCUUUUCAUUUCUCUAUUUUGACAAAUCAAUAAAGUACCAUUUUUUUUUUUUACCUAUUAUAAUAAUAUUUCAAUUAAAUUAGGGAGUUGGAAGAAAAAGUAAAAUUAUAAUUGUAGAGGCAGAAGGCAAUUUUAUGGUGUUUGAGGGACAAGUAUGAGGUGGCAUACAAAAGUUUUUAUGGUGUUUGAGGGACAAGUAUGAGGUGGCAUACAAAAGUUUUUAUGGUGUUUGAGGGACAAGUAUGAGGUGGCAUACAAAAGUUUUUAUGGUGUUUGAGGGACAAGUAUGAGGUGGCAUACAAAAGUUUUUAUGGUGUUUGAGGGACAAGUAUGAGGUGGCAUACAAAAGUUUUUAUGGUGUUUGAGGGACAAGUAUGAGGUGGCAUACAAAAGUUUUUAUGGUGUUUGAGGGACAAGUAUGAGGUGGCAUACAAAAGUUGUGUGAGCCUCCUUUCAUAAUUUGACAAGCAGAUAAUUGGGUCCCAUUUUCAAAAAAAUGGGUCAAAGUUCCUUCUCUCUUACUUUUUUAACUUUUUCCCAUUAUUUUAACUUUUCCACUUUUUAUUUUGUUUUAACCAUUAUUUCAAAUUUUGUUAUUUUCCUUAUGUUUAAAUAAUUUUUAAAGUAUAAAAUUUAGUCUAAUUCAUCAUACUCCUAACAUUUGGUAUUAUUUUUCUAUCCUAUAUUAGUUAUAUAAAUUACUAAAAAUAGUUAUUAAAAUUAUUUAUCGAUUAACAAAAUUAAACUGUCAUUUUUUUAUUUUCAUUACCCUAGCAAUUAUUGUUUUUUAAAGUAUAAACAAAAUUUGUAAAGUUAUAAAAAAACAAAUAUCUUAAAGAGUAACUUAGUAAAUUAUCAUUUUUUAAAGAACAUGUAAAAAAAAAGUAAAAUAACUAAUACAAAAGGAGUAUAAAAUCAUUUUUUUUCUCGUUCAAUAGUUUCAUAAUUUUCUAAUUUCGUAAACACUUAAAUGUAUCCAAUAUUCUCCAACAAGAAAUAUAACAGAAAGACCAUCCGUAAUCUUCACAAAUAAUUACAUAAGUUUUGUUUCUAUUUUCAUGUAAUCGAAAAUCAUCCAUAAACUCCUACAUACAUACAUACUCUCUCAAUUUAUAUGAUACUCUAUAUGUUAUUCUUGAAAUUCAAGCUAUGUGAAAUUUAAUUGAUAUUUUUAAUUUUUUAUUAUUAUUAUUAUAUUAACAUGAUAAGAAUUGCAAUUUAUAGUGUUUGUUAAAAAAUAUAACCUUCUCACUAAGUUGCAAUUCAACCUAAAAAUAUUAUUAGUUGCAAUUCUUGUCAUGUUAAUAUAAUAAAAAAUAUUUUAUAGCUUGAAUUUCAAGAACAAAAAAUAAUAAAUUAAUUAGAGAAAGUAAAAUGAAAAAAAUAAUUAAUUAUAUUUUGAUUUUGUUGAUUUACAAGUAAUUUUAAAUAACUAUUUAUUUUUGUCAUAAAAAUAAUACAAUUGAUUUGUAUGAGGUUAAUAGCACAAAUCAUAAUUUAACAUUUUUUUAAAUACGUAAUUAUUUGACUUUAAAUCUAAAUUAAUAUUAAUAUAUUUAUCUCUAUUUGAUUUAUAACAAAUGAACAUUAUGAAUUAUCAAAACAAUAAAGAAAAUAAAAUACUAAUUUUAGGACAUUACUAUUUUUAUAUUGGAGAAAUAAUGCGCAAAAGAGAUAAUAAAUUACUAAUUUUAGGAUAUUAUUAUUUUUAUUGUGUAAGAAAUAUAUUUAAAAUUUAAAAUUAUAUUUCUUAUUAAAAUAUUACGUAAAUUUUAAGGAUAGUUUGGUUUAUUAUUAUCCAUCAUAUACGCUUUACAUAAUCAAGAGAAAAAAUAAAUCAAGCUGAAAUAAUCUUUGAUUCUGACUAGGUUAAGCUGAUCGAGUUAAAAUAUAAUCGAAUCAAGUUAAGUCGAACCUAAAUAAGUUUAAAAAGUUAUAUUUGUACACACUACAACGUUAGAUUAUUUUUUUACCUAGUGAGUAUCACAUGAGUCAAAAAUAUAAAAAGACAUGUUAACAGUGAGAUUCGAACUCAAACUCAACAACACUAACACUCUGUUUGGAUCAUUGUUACCCAUUGUAUUGUAUUGUAUUGUUACUAUACCUACAAUGUUUGUUUUGAUUGUUACUUAAAAUGUAUUGUAUUGUUAAAUUUCGUUGUUAUGUAACAAUGAAAACCUCUAAUUUAUGGAACAACCGAUUUGGUGCGUUCCCAUUGUUACUUAAUUUCUUUUUCAAUUAUAUCUUUACAUAAUAUUUCAAAAUACUAUUUUAUCCUUUACCUUAUAUUACUUAAUUAUAGUCAAACCUCCUACCCUAGAAUAAUUAAGAAUAUUUUAGUAAAUUUAUAAAUUACAAUACAAUCAAACCAAACAAUUAAAAUGUUAUUAAACAACAACAAACAAUACAGUCUAGCCAAACAUUGUAUCUAUCAUACAAUACAGUACAAUACAAUACAUUAUGAAACAAUAGGUAACAAUGAUCCAAACAGAGUGUAAAAGAACCUUAAACACCCACCCAAGAGCAAAUGGACCAACCAAAUCAUUUAUUCAUUGGGUGCUCUAUGCUAAUUUUAUACAAAUAUCUCUUAAGUUCAACAUAGAUAUAUAUUCGGAGACGAGGAUAAUGGGUGCCGAGCACCCGGCGGACUCCAUGUGGGUCCCCCUGGGCCAGACAGCCAGUGGGUUUUCAUUUAUCUACCCAAUCCGUGUGCAUCCAUCUCAAGUACUCAUUGUUUUAUGUAUGCAAUGUACAUUCUUAUCCACAUGACUCUGUAACUGAAAUUUUGGAAAACCAUGUGAAUUGAGAUAAAAACCAUUAAUUUUAUUGAGACGCAUUUAUUUAUAAAUUCAAAAGCAUCAAAUCGCUGAGAAUUCAACCAACACAAUAUCGAAAGCAAAUUAAACCUUUCACAAACUUGUAUUAGAAAGAUGAGUUCAACAAGCAGGGCCUGGGUUGCAGCAGUAAGCGUGGGAGUAGUAGAGACACUAAAAGAUCAAGGAAUGUGUAGGUGGAAUUACACAAUCAGAGCCAUAAAUCAGCACGCAAAGAACAAUCUACGCUCAUAUUUACAGGCCAAAAUAAUGUCUUCUCAAUCUUCUUCUUCUUCUUUGGUUUCUGCUAACAGUAAAAUGAAGCAAUCUGAAGAGUCUCUGAGGAAAGUCAUGUAUUUGAGCUGUUGGGGUCCAUAUUGAUCAAUCAUAAUAGCAGUUAUAUCUAAUUAUUGCUGUCAUGUACAGUUUUUGACAAUAUUGUAAAUGAUUUUGAGAGCUUGGCCUAAAUUGCUCAAUCAAUGGAAAAGAAAUUUCUGCAAUCCCAAAUAUCUGGAAAUUAUCCUCAAUUCUAGUGGUUUUCAUUUGGUUUCGUGUUAUUUGACUUGUGUAAUUCUUUUUUAUAUUUUUCAAUUUUGUUAAUAUAUGGUUUUAUAUUAAGCCAAUCACAUAGAUUAAUAUGCUUUGCUUUGAAUAUUAUGGAGAAUCUGAUAUUGAUCAUCCAAAAAUAUAUACAUUUGAGAAGAGUUAUGUCAUGCCUCUCAUUCCCUAAAGAAAAUUGAACAUAGGGUAGGUAAUUAGGAUUUCUAGUGUACAAAUUACUACUCUCUUUGCCUCAAUUUAUAUGACUUACUUUUCUUUUUAGUCCGUCAAAAAAAGAAUGAUACAUUUUUAUAUUAAGUACUAAUUUAACUUUAAAAUAUUUAUUUUAUCCUUAAUAAAAUGAUUUAUUACCACACAAAUUUUAUCAUUCAUUUAAGACGCAAAUUUUAUAAUGGUACGAGUACUAAAUUAAGAUGACUCUUCCUAAUAAAUUUGUUCCUAUCCAAAGUAAAUAAGGGAUGUGCGGGCCUAAUUUAUUCGUGAGUCCAAAAACAUAUUAUACUAUUAUUUUCAUUGUUUUGUACACUUUUAAGUCGGUCCUAGAUCCUAUGUCCACAUAAUUUUCAAACUUAAGUAUUAGGGGUGUGAUAGUUGACCUUUGACCGGCCACUGACCUGCUUUCGAUUACUGAAAAAUAAAUUUAUUUUGAAUUAUCUUUGGUUAGAAUUAAAAGAAAAUUAAACUAACUGAAGGUGAUCAGAUUUCAGAAUAUACACAUUUCAAAGGUAGCAUUAAUCCAUCUGAAUUCCAAAUACCUUAACCAUACUCUAUUGACAAAUCAUUUAGCUAUUAAUUAUGACAAGCUAGUUAAAAGAGUUUGCGGGUUUACAGUUUUAACAAGAUGAAGGCCUAAAUUUUCUUUUUUGGAACUGAGUUUCUGUCAUUAUCGAAUUCAUAAUUUUACAUUGCAUGUAAGUUGGAGUCGAGCAAACAAUAGUGAGUGACUUACCAUACCAUAUAAAUCGAAACCAAAUGAAAAAUAUUGAAUCAUAUCGAUUAAUUCAGUAUGAUAAUAAUAUAGUAUUUCGAGAUCAUAAUUUUACAUUACAUAUAAAUAAAUCAUAAUUACUAACUUACAAUACUGUAUAAAUCAAAAUGAAAGCUACCAGAUUACAUAUAUAUCGAAUAAAUGCAAUAUCAUAAUAGUAAAUAAUAUUUUUAAGAAUUAAAACUCAAAAUUCUCUGAAUUUUUCUCAGUGUACCAUAUAGUACGAUGAAUACCCCUACUUUAAAGCACGUAGUUUGUGGGUCCGCCGUCCAUCUUACUGUAUUUAUUACGGCGUUACAUCAUUCUGCUCCUCUCAUAAUAAUCCAAAACAAGAUUGCAAAUUCAAUUUGCUACUUCAAUCAACCAUCCCCCCUCAAAUAGCUAUUAAUACUUGAAAUACCGACUAUACCCUCAAAAUUUUCAUCAUAAAAAAUUACGCGUAAGGGUAGAAAUUUACAUUCACAGACAAUCGUAACUGAAAUUUUAGAAAAACAUGCUCCGAAGCCACCAGAAUGAAAAAUUAUGCGAAGGAGCAAAAAUGUACAUCUACAACCACAAUAGUAACUGAAAUUAUAGAAAACCGUGCACCAAAGCCACAAGAUAUGCACAAGGGUAGAAAUGUACAUUCACAUAGUGGUGGAGCAAGAGUUUCGAUUAAGAGGUGUCAAUAUACAAUAUUCCACAACCCUCAAGUAUAUAUAUAUAUAUAUCGUGGCGGAGCCACCUUAUAGAACCCCCUCGGCGAAAAAUUAUAUUAUUUAUACAUGGUUUAAAUAAUUUUUUAGGUAUAUAUAGUAGAUGUCGAAUCCCCUUCUGCUACUUUAUGUGUCUAUUUUUUUAGAUUUUGAACCCUCUUAUUGAAAAUCUUGACUCCGCCACUAUAUAUAUAUAUAUUCAAAAUUACAUAGCUAUACAAUAUAAUUUUUUGACGAAGGGUAUCUGUCAACACCCCUCAAGUAUACUUGGCUCUACCGCUACAUCCACAACACAAUCGUAACUGAAAUUUUAGAAAAAACAUACUCCAAAGCCACAAGAAUAGCAGAAAUGUACAUAUUCCACAGCCACAAUCAUACUGAAAAACCAUGCUCCAAAGCCACAAGAAUGAAAAAUAAUGCACAAGGACAAAAAAGUACAUUCACAGCCACAAAUAUAACUGUAACUGAAAUUCUAGAAAACCAUGCUCAAGGCCGCAAGAAUUGAGAGCUAAAAGCCACUAGUUUUAUUGAGCCGCCACACUUACCUAUAUAUUGAGAAACAUCAGAUCCCUGAGCAUUCAACCAACAACCAACACAAUAUCCCAUUAGCAAAGAUUUUCAAGAAAUCAAAAAUUAAAUUUAGAAAAUGAGUUCAACAAGCAAGGCAUGGGUUGAGGCAGUGAAAGAACAAGGAGUGAGUAGGUGGAAUUGCACCAUCAAAACAAUAAAUCAGCAUGCAAAGAACAAUAUAAAGUCAUAUUCACAGGCCAAAAAAAUCUCUUCUCAAUCUUCUUCUAUGGUUUCUUCAAACAGUAAAGCAAAGCAGUCUGAAGAGUCACUUAGGAAAGUUAUGUACUUGACCUGUUGGGGUCCAUAUUGAAUCUAAUAAUAGUGUUAUUUUUUGUAAUUCUAGUUUGAGGCCCAAUUGCUUAGAAAAUAAAUUAUUAAUGGAGAGAAAUAUUUGAGCAAUCCAGAUAUCUUGAAUCAGUUCUUUGAUGAAUCUUUGUGAUAAUUUGUUACUAAGAGACAUGUUGCUUUGCAUUCAUUUCGCUAAGCUAGCGUCUUAUCAUAGUUAUUGGAUCAGAUUUUGAAAAAUUAUUUUUGAAUAUCUAUUUGGUCAUAUUAAAAGAUGAUAUAGUAAAAUGAUUAUUCCUAACCCUUCUAUUUUUUAUUUCUUAAAAAGCGUGUCAAGUGAAUACUGAACAAGUAAGAAAAUAGACGAAGGGAGUUCAUCUUUGUAGUAUAGUUCGUUACAAUAACAUUUCACUAAAAUAUAGCUUAAUUUUCUCCAGACCUGAUUUUUCAUAUUAUAUUUUACUUCUCUAUGACAACAUUCAACCUUGUAAAAAUACCAUUCUAUAGCAACCAUAUUCAAAUAUCGUGCAAUAAUAUUUUCCAAGAAAUAUAUUAUAUAUAAAAAUAAAAUUUUAAAAUAUUUAUGAUAUCAUUAUAUUAAUGUGAUGCACAUAGUAAAUUUUAAGUACGAAUAUCUAACAAGAAAAAAUGUAUUUAACUGGUACCCAUCAAUUAUAAUCAUAAUUUCACGAGAAAAAAAAAUUGGUGUAUGCUUUUUUACAUUCAUACACUUUCUACUUGGUUAAAUUAGUUAGCAGAUACAUAUAUCAUACAUGACUUUUUUUGAUACACAAUUAAUUAAUUAUUAAUUAAUUCUGUGUACUUUUAUUUAUAACUGUUAAAUAAGAUCAAAGCGUCAUCUAACAACACUUCACUAUAACCAUUAUGAUGUUUUCAGACCAACACUGCAAUAGAUUUUAUUGUAGUGUGUUUUUCUUUGGACUUUGAUGCAAAUAUUUGUUGGUAUGUUCGGCAAUGCAUAUGAAAAGUUGUAAUUUUUAGAAGAAAAAAUGGUUAAUUGCCCUUUCAAAAAUCAGACUAAUAGAAUUAAGAAGAACUUUCACAUAUAGCCACUCAAAAAUAGCAUAAUUAUUCUCCAUAUCUAUAGUUUGAUAAUUACAAUUUAUAGGUACAUGUCAUAGGGAGGAGAGAGGUGAGCGAGACUGGGAGAGAGAGGAGAGAGGAGAGAGGCGAGCAAGAGAGGGCAAAGAGUGGGAGAGAGGUGAAUUGUAUAUGUAUAUCGGUUAGAUAAUUAUAUAUUAUACAUAUGUAUUUGUAUAUAUGGCAAGCGAGAUUGGGAGAGGGAGGAGAGAGGCGAACGAGAUUGAGAGAGGGCAUAGAGUAGGAGAGAGGUGAAUUGUAUAUGUGUAUUGGUUAGAUAAUUGUAUAUUAUACAUAUGCAUUUGUAUAUAUGACAAGCGAGAUUGGGAGAGGGAGGAGAGAGGUGAGCGAGAGAGGGCAGAGAGUGGGAGAGAGGUGAAUUGUAUAUGUAUAUCGGUUAGACAAUUGUAUAUUAUACAUAUGUAUUUGUAUAUUCUGGCGAAUUAUACAUAUACAAACGUGGCUAAUUGUACAAACUCGAAGUCAGCCCACGAAAUUAAUGUAUAAUGUAGUCGUGAGUGGUAAUUAUAGCAAACUAUAGCUAUAAUGAGUAAUUAAGUAGUAUAAAUUUGCUUAACCGCGUAAUUUUCCCUAGAAUUAAAUCAAUUAAAUUAUAGAAAUGCAAUUCACAAAGGAAAAAUUGUAUAUAAUAGCAAACUAUUAAUUCAAAUUAAAUGAUAUAUUACAUAGUUUGAUUUAAUUGUACCCCAUAGCAAACUGUUGCUAUUUUGCCUCUCUCCUGGUGAAUCUCGCUCGCCACUCUCGUUCUCUCCCUCGCCUCUCUUGCUUUUAUACAAACGCAAAUGUAUAGAAUGCGUUUGUGUUUGUAUAAAGCGAGAGAAAAUUGUAUAUAUACAUAUAUUUUCGUUCCCCUCUCUCCCCUCUUCCGGAUCUCGCUCGCCACUCUCCCAGAUCUCGCUCGCCUCUCUCGCUUAUACAAACAGAAAUGUAUAAAUUAUGUUUCUGUUUGUAUAAAGCGAGAGAAAAUUGUAUAUACACAUGUAAAUACAUAUAUUUUCGUCCUAUACACUUAUAAUUAUUACAAUACAAACAUUUCCUGCCCAGUUCCCUUUUGCCUUUCUCUCUUUUAUACAAACACAAAUUAUACAAUUGAUCUUUUGUAUAUGUAUACGGAAACAGAAACAGAUUAUAUACAACUGCUUUCUUUUGUAUAUAUAUAGCGAAAUAUACAUAUUUAUGUUUGCUAUGGAGCGCAAUUAUGCAAACUAUAGUUAUAGCAUACAAAUAUGAUUUUUGUGUCUGCUAUAUGUGAAAAUUGCUCAUUCACAAAUCUACAAAUUGUGUAAAUGUUGAAAUUGGGCCUCUAAACAUAUUAUACUUUUGUGAUUUACUCCGUGAGGACACAUUUAAUUCGGUGCCCCGCUAACAUAACAAAUUUAUAUUUUAUCAUCUUCUUCUUACAAUAAACUCAGUUUGGCCAUAAGUUUGAAAAAUUGCCGCAGUUCCUGAUUAGAAUAUUUGGCUAUCACCGUAACUUAUUAGUAAGGCAAGUUUUUAAAUAAUUAGAGGCAUAUCCAGGAUUUUGAAAUGAUGGGUGCACUAUUACGAAAAGAUGGAUCUAAGAUAUAAAUUUGAUCGGUUUAACAUUUUUAGGUUUGUAUCACUAAAAAUAAUUAAAAUUUUAAAAUUAUAGGUCCAAAAUUAUUUUUACCUAUCCAAAUCACUUAGAGAGGUGUUACCCAACUUUAGAAAGGAAAACAAAACGAGAUAAAUAAAAGUUCAAAUUUCUAACCUCACUUAAAGAAGUGUAUUGAAGAAGGUAUUACAUAGGACCUACAUGUAAUUAGUAAGAGUUUGUAUGUAAUUAAUAGAAGUUAGAGGGUUUGUUAGUAAAAAGUCGGUUAGAUUAGUUACAAUAAGAUUCCUACUUAGUUUGUAUAAAUGUAGCACAUUACUGAUUCAUUUGUUUUUCACUUAAGCAAUGAAGUUCAUUUCUCAUUCUCUCUAAUUCUUCUUCUUUACGUCUAGAACAUUCCUAAUCAAAGGGAACUGUUCUUCAAGAUAUCUUCUUCAAGAUAUCUAACAUGGUAUCAGAGCAGAUCGAUUACUGUUGUAACUGCUUUCUGAUCUAAACACACACUGAUUGUACUGCUCAUCUGGCUGGUGAAGCUAUGGCGAAUGUGGACAAUGAGUUACCUGAGAAGUUAAGUCACAAUCAUCCUCUAUUGUUACAUACAAUUGACAAUUUUGGAGUAUCACUCAGCUCAAUUCAACUAAUCGGAGCUGAUAACUACUCUGUAUGGAGUUGCGCUAUGAAGAUUGCAAUUCUAGGGCGUAAUAAGUUGGGAUUCAUUGACGGUUCAUGUAAAAAGGAGGCUUAUGGUCCUAAUUUGACAAAUAUAUGGGAAAUGUGUAAUGCAAUUGUACUUUCAUGGAUUAUGAACUAUGUGUCGAAGGAAUUACUUGGAGGAAUUGUUUACUCCACAAAUGCAACUGUUGUGUGGAAGAAUCUCUAAGAACGAUAUGAUAAGGUUGAUGGAAGUCAUAUUUUUCAGCUUCAUAAAGAAAUUGCCACAAUUAGUCAAGGUACAAGUUCAAUUUCAGUCUAUUUUGCUCGAUUAAAUGAACUGUGUGUAGAUUUUGAUAGUUUAGCACCAGUUCCUGUCUGUGACUAUGCAAACUUGAGAGAAUUUGUUAUAUUUGUGCAUAAUCAGAAGUUAUUGCAAUUCCUUAUGGGUCUUAAUGAAUCAUAUGAACAAGCUAGAGGACAUAUCUUGAUGAUGAUACCAUUACCAUCUCUCAAUAAGACUUAUUCUAUGUUAAUUGAAAGAGAAAGUCAACGAAACAUUUCACAAUCAUCUGCUAGCUCGUCUGAGUUGAAUGCUUUGUUCACUAGUCGAAAUCCAACACAAUCAGUGCCUAGGUCAAGACCAUCACACACCUCUACCUAUGAUCCAAAUGCCUUUUGUGAUUACUGCAAACGCACAGGUCAUACUCAAGGUAUUUGUUAUCAGCUUCAUGGAUAUCCCCUUGGGUAUGAAAGGAAGAAGAAAGGACAAUUCUCUACUAACACUGGGAGGGGCAGACCUCCUAACGAAAGGAGAUAAUAUCCAGCUGCCAAUAAUGUGGUUAGUGAAUCUGAACACAACCAUAGAUCUGACCUUGAUCAAAACAGAGGUAUGAGUUCAGGGAAUCAUGGUGGAAGCCAAGGUUAUGGGAGAGGAAAUAGUCAGGUUGAUCAAACUGAUUACCAAAGAGGAAUGACUGUCUUACAUGAACAAUAUAACCAGAUUUUAACUAUGCUUGGACAGACUAAUGUACAUGAAGGCACUGACGGACUAUCUACAUCUCAUUCAUCUCAUUCAAGUGCAAAUUUAGCUCAGGAAUAUCCCACAGCAGGUACAACUACAGCACUUACAAGUCAUUCUACUCACACGGACUGGAUUAUAGAUUCAGGAACCACAAAUCACAUGACACCACAUGCUAAUAUGCUUGUUCAGAAACACACUCUUUCACCAAAUAAUCCUAGAACUGUACAAUUACUGGCACCACUACUCAUAUCACACACACUGGUUCAAGUAGUUUGACUAAACAUGAUACUCUCAAUAAUGUUCUCCUUAUUCCAGAGUUUAAGUUCAAUAUACUAUCUGUGUCAAAAAUGACUAAAGACCUGCAAUGUGUUGUGUCUUUCUUUCCUGACUUUGUUGUCAUUCAGGACCUCUCAAGUGGGCAGAUGAAGGUGAUUGGUAAGGAGCAUGCUGGGCUCUAUCAUAUCCCUUCUCAUACUUACUCCACAGACACACAAUGUCAGUCACAUCUAGCACACACUGCUGCUGCCCCUUCUUCAACAGACUCUCAGAUUCAAUUGUGGCAUCAAAUACUAGGACACACAUCAUCCAGUGUGUUAGCUCAUACUCUUGACUUUUCUACCAGUAAAUGUUCUCAAACUGUAUACACCUGCACCAUAUGCCCUUUAGCUAAGCAACAUAGACUUCAUUUUCCUCAUAGCACUUCUAUUUCUUCUAUUCCUUUUCAGUUUUUACAUAUAGAUGUUUGAGGUCCCUUCAACACUCCCACAUACGAUUGUAACAGAUUCUUUGUUACCAUAGUGGAUGAUUGUACUAGGAUGUUAUGGAUAUUUCUAAUAAAAUCUAAAAGUGAUGUUUGUGUUGUGUUGAAAAACUUCUUUACUUUGGUCAAAACUCAGUUUAACUUUGCUGUUAAGUCCAUUAGAACUGAUAAUGGGUAAGAGUUUGUCAAUACUGAGUGUCAUCAAUUGCUUACCAGUCUGGGUAUUAGUUAUCAAAAGACUUGUAUUCAUACUCCUCAACAUAAUGAGAUUGCUGAAAGGAAACACAAACACAUACUUGAAGUGGCAAGGGCAAUCAGGUUUCAGGGUCAUAUCCCAAUUAGAUUUUGGGGUCACUGCAUUCUCAGUGCUGCAUACAUUAUCAACAGGUUGUCUACACCUGUGUUAAAUGGGAAAUCACCCUAUGAGGUGUUUCACAAGAAGAAACCUUCUCUUUUACAUAUGCGAGUCUUAGAUUGCCUUUGUUAUGCCAAAACAUGUACAUCACUAAUAAAUUUCACCCUAGAAGUGUGAUUGGUAUUCAUAUGGGUUAUAGUGAUCUUACAAAGGGGUAUUUGCUGUAUAACCUGCGAGAUACGAAUUUCUUCCUCAACAGAGAUGUUGAAUUCAGAGAGUCUAUAUUCCAUUUUGUUGUGCUUACAUCUAGUUCCUGACAAUUGUUUCCCUCUACUCAUAUACCAUCUGAACAUGAUCGUAGUUAUGAUCCUGGUUCAGUGCCAAUAGAUGAAUCAAGUGUGUUAUCUGUGGUGCAUGUACUUGAAGUUCCUGCUCAGAGGAAGUCUCACAGGAUCAGCAGAGCUCCAUUAUGGCUUCAAGAUUAUGUUGCCUCUGUUCGACUCAGUCCUAUCAAGCCAUUAUACUCCAUUGAUCAGUACAUUGGCUAUGAUCAUUUAUCCAGCUCUUAUAAGUCCUUUCUUUCUUCCUUUGGGACUGAUGUUGAACUUACCACUUUUGAGGAAGCUUGCAAGGACUCUAGGUGGGUUGAGGCAAUGCAGGCUGAGAUAUAAGCCUUGGAGGAUCAUAAGACUUGGCGAGUGGUUUCCUUAACUUCUCACAAAAAGGCUAUUGGCUGCAAGUGGAUAUUCAAGAUUAAGUAUAAGGCUUCUGGAGAAGUUGAGAGAUUUAAUGUCAAACUAGUUGCCAAAGGGUUCAAUCAGAUGGAAGGUUUAGACUACCAUGAGACCUUUUCUCCAGUUGUGAAAAUGGUCGCUAUCAGGAGUGUGUUGGCUCUAGCUGCUUCUGAACACUGGAAUGUUCAUCAAAUAGAUGUCUCCAAUGCUUUUCUUCAGGGAGAUCUUUUUGAUGAAGUUUAUAUGACUCUGCCUCAGGGAUUUCAGCUUCCACAGGGAUUCAUUGUGCAUGGGGGAAAACCUGUAUGUAAGCUCAAUAAAUCCCUCUAUGGGUUGAAGCAGGCUCCUAGACAAUGGAAUGUACAACUCACUAAAGCUCUUAUCAAACUUGGUUUUGUUCAAAGUCUUUUGGACUACUCAUUGUUCAUUAAAAGGACUGGUACAUCACUAGUACUAAUUCUUGUAUAUGUGGAUGACAUGAUGAUUACUGGUAAUGAUCUUAAACUCAUUCAACACACCAAAAAGAUCCUUCAAGAUACCUUCAGGAUGAAGGAUUUAGGUGACCUCAGAUACUUUCUUGGGCUUGAAUUUGCAAGGUCACAAGCAGGUAUUGUUAUGCAUCACAGAAAGUACACAUUGGAAAUUAUUUCUGAAGCUGGCCUUGGAGCAGCAAAACCAGCUGCCACCCCUCUUGAUCCUUAUGUACAGUUGACAACUAGAGAAUAUGAUGAAAUAAAUGGAAAAGGUAAGAAUGAUAAACUACUUGAAAAUGCUACAAUAUAUAGAAGGUUAGUUGGCAAACUGUUAUAUCUAAAUGUCACAAGAUCAGGCAUUGCCUUUGCUACACAAACCUUGAGUCAGUUCCUUCACCAACCUAAGCAGUCUCAUCUUAAUGUUACACUCAAAGUUGUGAGAUACAUAAAAGGACAAGCUGUACUAGGUGUCCUGUUAUCUAGCAAGAGAAACAAUCAACUGAAUGUAUAUUGUGAUUCAGACUGGGGAGCAUGCCUACAUAUUAGAAGAUCAGUUUCUGGGUUUAUGGUGAAACUGGGAGAUUCACUAAUAUCCUGGAAGUCAAAGAAACAAGGAACAAUAUCUAGAAGUUCAGCUGAAGCAGAAUAUAGGAGCAUGGCAAGUGUUGUAGUUGAAGUUGUUUGGAUAGUGAGGUUAUUCAAAGAACUAGGUGCUGAUGUUCAAAUUCCUGUAACUAUUCACUGUGAUAGCAAGUCAGCAAUUCAAAUUGCAGCAAAUCCAGUUCUUCAUGAAAGAACAAAACAUAUUGAAUUGGAUUGCCAUUUCAUAAGGGAGAAAAUACAGCAAGGAUUAGUGGAAACAAAGUAUUUGAAUACUAAGGAGCAAGAAGCUGAUAUAUUAACUAAAGGUCUUGGGAAGUCUCAACAUGAAUACUUAAUGUCCAAGUUUGGUGUAUUAAAUCUGUUCAUACCUUCAAACUUGAGAGGGAGUAUUGAAGAAAGUAUUACAUAGGACCUACAUGUAAUUAGUAAGAGUUUGUAUGUAAUUAAUAGAAGUUAGAGGGUUAGUUAGUAAAGAGUCGGUUAGAUUAGUUACAACAAGAUUCCUACUUAGUUUGUAUAAAUGUAGCACAUUACUGAUUCAUUUGUUUUUCACUUAAGCAAUGAAGUUCAUUUCUCAUUCUCUCUAAUUCUUCUUCUUUACGUCUAGAACAUUCCUAAUCAAAGGGAACUGUUCUUCAAGAUAUCUUCUUCAAGAUAUCUAACAAAGUGCACCAAAUCAUAAUCGCACGGUAUGAUACUUCAAGUGUGGGUUCACAUAUCUAUAUUUAAAUAUUUUUAGAAAAAUAUAACAUUAUUAUAUAUGAUUUCAGGAGGGAGCAUGGGUUCACAUGAGUCCGGUGACCCAUCUUGGAUAUGCCUCUUAGUCUUUCCCAAUAUCUAAUAAGAAAUCAUGAACCUACCAAUAUUUUUAUCUAGAUUUCAGUGAAACGGUUAAAAUUUAGACGGCGACACUUCUAAUGAAUUAACACGUUAGAAUACAACCUACUUGGACUAAGGUCAUGUACUCAUUUUAGCUACCAAAACGGUCUAUUUGGAUGAACAUCAAGAGAGGACUCUUCCUUAAAUCUUUAAAUUUUUAUAGGUCCACAAUUUUUUUUUAAUAAGAAAUUUAGAAUAGUGUAAUUUGAGAUUGGUCAAAGAGUAGGGUCAAUUACAAAGAAGGCAAUAAUCAUUGAAACUAGGGCCAUUAGUGUUCAAACCUUCAACCAAGCAAUUAAAAAAAACAAAAUGAUUACAAAUACGAGUAAAAUCUAUAAUUGCUUCAAUAGAAGGAUUAAUUCGAAUAAUUAGAUUAUGCUAGUGGGGGGCAAUUGGUUGAUAUCGCCCAACUAUUCGACAAAUGGUAGGAAAAAGAAAAAGAUCAACAUAAAUUUAUACCAUCAAUCAAACACAAUAUAAAUUUAAUCUUAAACUUAAUUUUGAAUAUCUCAUCUUAUCCAUCAUAUUAACUUGAGAUUAUUUUAUCCUACCUUCUAAAUAGAAUAAUUUAGUUUAAAAAUUAUAAUCCCAAAAUAAUUUAAUCCACAUACCAAACGAUGCAGUACUAGAGGGCCACAUGGGAGUAUCAUCAAAUAACAAAUUGCCUAUGUUGUUCUCUUCAUUAGAUCCUAGAAUAUAUUCUGGCGUCUAGCAUAAAGUGCAUCACACCAAAUUAUGCCUUUCAAUGCAUGCUCAACUUUAAUUUGAAAACUUUACAUUUUUCCCCUUUUUAGCGCAAUUUAGUACAUUAAUUGGUUUGAAGCAAAUACUCGAUGUGAAUACAAGAUGUGUUAGAAUAUAAUUUUUGAGGUCUUUCUUUAUUAUUUAAUCCUUCUUAAUUUCAUUAUUAUUCAUUGUGAUGCACAAACACAAAUUAUUAUUUUGGUUGGUUUUUAAUUUAAGAUAAAAGCAGACAAUUUACUAAUGUUCGUUAAUUUAAUAUGUUAGCAGUAAACAAUUAUCUUUAUGUUAUUCUUAAUUGUCAACAUAAUUUAAUGACUUGCGUAACAUCAAUGCCAUGGGUGAUGGGUGCACUCAGAUCAAACAGACCUGAUCGUUAAGAGCUUAUCAAUGUUGCAAAUUGCAGAUAUUUGUUGAAAAUUAAUAAUAUGACCAUCAAACUUAUUGCUAUUUUUUUAAAAGAAAAUAAUAUUGAAUAUUUUAUCUUAGCAGAUUUAUGUCACGUGACUUAAAGAAACACUUGCAAGGAUUUUGUCGAAGUACUUUUCAUUGUAUCUGGAGAAAAAGAAGAUCGAAUGAAAUCAAAUCUAUAAAACGCACUAGUAAAGAGAAUACAUUAACAUAUAAGUUAAACGUACCAGUAACUCAUGCAUAUUACGCCACCAAUGAUAUGUUACGGUCACCGUGGAUGAGACUGUUUCUCUUUUAAUUAGAGGUCUCAAGUUUGAACCCUGAGUAUGGAAGAAUUCUUGGUAGGAAGCGGUAUCCCCCAAAUGAAGCCUUACCUGACAUAAAUCUGAAUUAGUCAAACUCCAAUAUAAAUAUUAAACAUCGAAUAAACAAAAAAAAACUCACGUAAAUCACUCUAUUCUCACUUGAGGAAAAAUGAAUAAAAAAUGUGAAAGGGAAAAGAGACAAAAAGAAAAACAGAAAGUGGGGAAACUCAAGAGAGAGGCAAAAAAUAAACAAGCAAUCACUAAUGAAAAUGGACGAAUGAGAAGAAGUUAAAAUACUCCCUUUAUUAUAAAAAUAAGUAUUCCUUCCGUUCAAAUUUAUAUGAGUUAGUUUAACUUAACAUGAAGUUUAAGAAAGAAAGAAAGAAUUUUUUUUGAAAUUUAUGCGGAUAAAAUAAGUUAUAUAUAUAUUUAUGUUGCUAAAAAUCAUUUCAUUGAGGUUAAAAUAAAUAUUUCAAAGUUACAUUAUUACAUAAUAUAAAAAUAUAUCAUUUUUUUUAGACGGACUAAAAAAAAUCCUAAAAAAUGAAACAAAGUGAGUAGUAUUUUUUUGUUUGGACGCAUCAUUCAUUCUUAAAAACUAAGAUAUAUUUUUAUUAUAACUAUAGCUCUUUCGUAGUUUCCUUAAUUUAUCUUUAUUAUUAUUAUCUUUUGGAUCAUGUAAAAUAUCAACAGCAAAUUGAAAAAUAAAUAAAAUUAAAAUAUUAUUUAUUUUGAAACACGAGAAAUAACAUAGUAGUAUAUAUUUACGAUACAACUUUUUAUUUGAACAGAGCCAAACCAACAGCAGCAAUAACUGUGUCACACUCCCCAUACACACAUUAUGACAACAACCCAUCAUUCCCACGCUAUGUAACUCGCAUCCUAUGCCUCCCCUCCCCACCCCCCANNNNNNNNNNNNNNNNNNNNNNNNNNNNNNNNNNNNNNNNNNNNNNNNNNNNNNNNNNNNNNNNNNNNNNNNNNNNNNNNNNNNNNNNNNNNNNNNNNNNNNNNNNNNNNNNNNNNNNNNNNNNNNNNNNNNNNNNNNNNNNNNNNNNNNNNNNNNNNNNNNNNNNNNNNNNNNNNNNNNNNNNNNNNNNNNNNNNNNNNNNNNNNNNNNNNNNNNNNNNNNNNNNNNNNNNNNNNNNNNNNNNNNNNNNNNNNNNNNNNNNNNNNNNNNNNNNNNNNNNNNNNNNNNNNNNNNNNNNNNNNNNNNNNNNNNNNNNNNNNNNNNNNNNNNNNNNNNNNNNNNNNNNNNNNNNNNNNNNNNNNNNNNNNNNNNNNNNNNNNNNNNNNNNNNNNNNNNNNNNNNNNNNNNNNNNNNNCACCACUCCCUAAAUUGCUCCUAAAAAUUGGCUAGUACUACUACUACCAGAAAACCAAAAAGUGCUCAACAGAGAAAGCACAACAAUGGCACUUGCUAAUGAAAAAUCUGUAUCUGAUGGCAAAAUUUGGGGUCUUUGUAAACUACCAUUUUGGCAUUCAACUAGUAGCUCUGUGGCUGCUUCUUCCUCUUCUAUUGCUUCUUCUUCUUCAUCUUUUAGGCAACACCAUAAUGGCAUUUCUGUGGAUCAUCACUCUAAUAUUCAUGCUCCUCUUAAGGUUUCUUCUGUAGCCAAAUCACUUCUUCCAACUCGUCGCAAGCUCAGCCUUGAUCCACAAAACAAGCUUUACUUUCCAUGUAUGUUCAUCACUUUUUGUUGAUUUUCUUACUUUUUUUGUCGAUAUACCCAUCUAAUUGUUUGUUAUGAAAUUAGAUCAUGCUACACAUUUUCAUAUGGCAUGAUUUGUUGAUUUCUUAUAACGUAGAUAAUUGAGUAAUUUUGUACUCCCACCGUUUCAGUUUAUGUGUGUUUUUUUUUUUUAAUUAAAAAAGGAUGUCUUUUUCUAUCUUUAGUAACUCUCUAAUGUUCAAGAUGACAAGAUUCAAAGGGCAUUUUUGGUAGUUACAGAUAUUUUUAGUUUAUGAUCAUGAGAUUCAAAAGUUCUCCACUUAUUUUCUUAAGCGGACGUUUGACCAUGUUUGAUUGUGAAAUUUGAAAAAAGAAAAAAAUUGAUUUCAAAAUGAAAAGUGAUGUUUGAAAAUUGGAGUUGUGUUUGACUGGUACAAAUAGGAAUUGUUUUCGACUUUUUGUGAGUAAUUUGGAGUGAAAAAAGUGAAAACACCUUAUGUUCGAACGUGGUUGAACUUCGGAAAAUAAGUGAAAAAAUUUGAUGCCUUCUAAGUUAAGUAACUAGUCAAACUAAGACACUGAAAUUGAAACUAAGGGAGUACUUUUUCUAUUGCAAUUUUUUGUCUUAAUUUGGAUUUAAUAGAAAGAAAGUUUCAUGCAUUACUUUUAUGUUUACUGUAAUGGAUUUAUUUAUUUCAUAGCUACUUCACCAGGAGUAUAAGUUUAUGAAAUGUAAUGGCCUAGUAUUAACUAAAUUGUUGUAAUUUUGUUCUGUUCUAUUAUAUUGGAUGAAACUUGACUAUUUUUAGUAGUAGUAAUAAUUCUUAUGUCUUAAGGUAUUUGUUUCUUUUCAUAUCUAUAUUUACUUAUUAUUGGAUUAUGCUUAUUCUGUUUUUUCCCUUUUGUAGAUGAGCCUGGUAAACAAGUCAAGAGUGCUAUUAGAAUCAAGAACAUUACCAAGAAUCAUGUGGCCUUCAAGGUACAUAAUUACUCUAGCCUCAAUUUUCUUGUUUUGGUGGUCCUAAUAGUUGAUAUUUUAUUUUUUGCUGAUGUGAAAUGUGCUUAGUACUUAAUACUCAUUAUGUCAAUUUCAUAAUCUCCAUGAUUAGUGCAACAAGUCACUUUAAUUCCUCACUAGGCCAACUUUUUCUGAGUUGGUUGAUAGUACUAAUGCUUUAAAGACAAUCUGUUUAAAAUUAGGCCUUCUUUUUUUGUUAAUUUAAGAGUAAUUCUGCAUGUUGAGGAUUAAAAGAUGAUGAAUUGUGGUUAGUGGGCAACACCAUUAUUAUGAGAUCUAUGGAUAGUGAAAUUGGAUCUCCCACAGCUAAUUUGUCUAUUUAUAAUAUAUUGUAUUAAAACAAGAUCAACCAUUUCUUAAUUAAUAUAAGUUAGUUGCUUUGAGCCAAAGGUUAUCGGAAACAACCUCUCUACAUUCACAGGGUCAAGGUAGGGGUAAGGCUGUGUACUCAUUGCCCUACCCAAACCCAACCUGUGGGAUUACACUGAGUUUGUUGUUGUUGUUAAUAGUUGCCUUAUUACAGAAAUUUUCUCCUUUUUUUUGUUACACUAAUAACUCUCAGUUCAAUUGCAUUUCUUCUUUUCCUGAGAAGACUCAUAUUUGCAAAAAAUUUUUUGGAUAAAGGUAACAACUUUUGUAUACGACAAACUUAAAUCUGCACAGAAUCAACAGCUCGCAGAAACCAUACUACAUGCAUAGCUUGUGUCCACUUCUCGUGUCCUCCACACAAAUCACACAAAUAACAUCAUUAACACAAAGGCAGUGUGGAAUGCCACAUUUACAAUUCAGAACACAAAAACAGUUGCCUUAUUCUUCUUAUUCUAUAACAUCUAAGAUUGAUUCUGAAUCAUCUAGAAUUCCUGUCUACACCAAAAGUGAAGUAACAGUAAACAGUUCAUCUUAAUCUUCUGAAUAGAGCUAAAUCUAUCCUCAAAGCAUCUCGUAUUUCUUUCCUUCUAAAUAAUCUACCUUAUAUAUGCAGUAAUAGUUUUCCACCUACUCUUCUGUCUGACAAUUCUGCCCGAGCUAUUCCAGAAUUCCAUUUAAUUCCUUCAUAUUCAAAAGAUGAUCCAUCACUUCACAAUGCAAAAUAAGAUGACUAUUGUUUUCCGUCUCCUUCCCACAUGAAUAACGUCUUGAGCAUAGCCGAGUCCCCUUGCUCUUCAAAUGAUCUCUGGUCAUUCGGCUUCUUUAGUGAUAAGCACCUUGUUAGAAACUUUACUUUCCAUAUUUGUUUCCAAGGCCAUAGAUUAACUUGUUCAUGACCAGCAUAAGAAGAUUUGACAGUGUAGUUGCCCUUUCUAUGCUUGUUUCAAGUUCUAUUUGUAAUAUUUAUCAGUAUACUGUUGGUAUUCAGACAUGUUCUCUAAUUUUACUUGAUUGUGCUAUCUCAGUUUCAAACAACUGGGCCAAAAAGUUGUUACAUGCGGCCGCCAGGAGGUGUUCUUGCUCCUGAUGAAAGCCUCAUUGCAACUGGUAACAUCUCCACUUGGCCUUUCAUGUCCUCCUGUGUGAAUUGUGAUGUUUAAUGAAAAUAGUUGCUUAUUGCUAUUUUACUGUGCUAACUCCAUGCUUAAUUAACAGUUUUCAAAUUCGUCGAGCCACCUGAUAAUAACGAGAAACAAGUUGGCAAGAAAAGCAGGGUUAAGUUCAAAGUCAUGAGCUUAAAAGUAAAAGACGAUGUGGAUUAUGUGCCGGAGCUGGUAAGUGCUAAAUAAUGGUUUGCCCCUCUAUGAGUGAACAGAUGUAUUCUCUCAUGAAUGUGAAUAACCUGCUCAAAUCCAAUCUUGACUUUUAGGAACUUUAUUUUUAUUCAUCGCUGUGAUUCAUAUAGCUUUUUUGGAGUAGAUAUCUGCAAUUUUCAUUAUUCUUCUUUUAUUUUUUAGCUGGACAGGAAACUGAGUAUCCUAUAUAUUUGAUCUAAUAAGUAGAAGUCCAAAAAAGAAGGAAAAUAAUAAAAAGAGAAUCAAUCAUAUGUGUGAUGGAAAUGUAGAAUCACUUAGAACAAUAUUUUGAAUAACAAACAGAUUGUGCCUUGAGCCAUCCAAUCCUUAAGUCCUUCGAUAAAAACCUGUUCAGGGUCAUACCGGAAGUGACACAUUUCUUGUUUACACUGUGAUUAGUUUCCUCUAAAGCUUACUUAGAAUAACAUCAAAUCAUUGAUCUUCUUUAUCUCCUAUCAGUACUUCUUACUUAACAACUCUUCUCCUUUUAAGGUACUUCCAUUUAACACGCGUCUUUUCUCAUUUCUUUUCCUUUUUCUUUUGAUGUUAAUGAAAACAUGCUAUAACUACAGUUUUCGUGCCACCAGGACUAUCCAGUAUAUAGAAUAAACUAGAAAGUAAACCGUCCACUAAUAAAGAGUAGUGGCCUCCCAUGAUGAUAUGAACUUCUGAUUCCUAAAAGAGUAUAUUACUUUCAUCUUAUUUUUGAAAAUAUAAAAUAUAUAUAUAUAUAUAUAUAUAUAUAUAUAUAUAUAUAGAUAAGGCACUGAAAUGUUGUUGUUGCCACUAUCUCCUUGUAGUUGAAUGCUGUUUAUGCUCUUUAAAAAUGUCACUGAGAGGUUGAGAGGAUUUGCCGUGGUCACCUCAAGACUCUGUUCAUGUGCACGUAUUGUGUGUCCUCUUUAGAUCAGUUCUUCAAAUCAACUCACCAGCGUACCAAUUAGUUUAAUAACUGGAUUUUAUGAUCUAUAUCAACGGAAGUUUGGUACGGAUUUAAAACAUGUCAUGUUUGCUACAGUGUAUAGAUAGAGAUGAGAGCACCUAUAUUCAUUGGUUACUAUGUGAACCGUUCCACAUGAAAAAUAGCCUAUCCUUGAAGGGAAAUCAGCCCCGGUUGCCUGUACUUUUAUACUUUUUUCAUUUUUUAAUGCAAUUUAUUUCUACAUCCUUUUGUGCACCCCUCUCCUUUAACUCGUUAAAGAAUUAGACCUUUGAACCUCCUAAUGCUUGCAUUCGUGCUAACGAUGAUUUGGAUCAGUUUGACGAAAGGAGGGAUGAAGUGGCAGUUGAACAAGUAUUAGGUGUUGUUUUCCUUGAUGCUGAACGCCCUUGCCCUGUAAGUAGGUUUUCUCUACCAAGUUUGCUCAUUAGUUGAAUCAGAUUUUUUCCGCAGUCUGUUUCAAUUAAUGUAAUUGUCUAAGGUUUAUGUGAAAAUGGCUCUAAGGAUUUCAUGGCUCAUUUUUCUUAGGCACUCGAGAAACUUAACCGCCAGCUAGCUGAAGCUGAGGCUGAGGUCGAGGCACGCAAAAGGCCUCCAGAAGAUACAGGUCCAAAGAUUGUCGGGGAAGGUCUUGUUAUAGACGAAUGGGUAAGUUGCCUUGCCACUACACUAAGUUCUUAUGUUCAAUGCUCAGACAUUAUGUUCCAAAUCAAAUGCAUAGUAGAAACUUCUCUUGUUGCCUUUUGACCUCUUAAAAUGCUAUUUUGAUUUACUACAACUCGAUUAAUAAAAUUAUAUAACGCGCCUCAUUCCAAACCACCAAGGAAAUGAUGAAAUAGCUACAAGUGGAGCCUAAAUUAAUAAAUUUUCUAUUGCAAUACAAGGCAAGAAUAUGGAGGUCAAGGCAUUGUCAUAGUAUUAGUUGUUUGUAGUAAUACAAGGCUAGAAGAUCCUCUUUUCAUCAUCAGAAACAACUUGAUCUCUAACCUCUUGCAUUGCAUUACCAUAAUGAAAAAAGAAAACACUUUAGUAACAUAAACCAGGAACUUUAGUAAAACUAUUCAGUUUCGCGCUUUGAAUCAUGUAAAAGUAUCAAAAUCAAUUGCCAAACAUGACUUCUGUUUGUACUGUUUCAGAAAGAAAGAAGGGAAAGGUAUCUCGCGAGGCAACAGGUUGAAGGAGUUGAUUCAGUAUAAUAGAAGCUCUCUUUUCUGUGGAUGGUUGAGAAGAAAUUCUAUGAUAAAGCUAUUGAAUUUUCAAUACUAUUGCCUGCAGAUUAACAGAUAUACUUAGGCUAUUUUUCUUCUCAAAAUGUGAAAUUAAUUUUUUCAUGUAAUUUUUCAAUCCUCUCUAUUCCUGGAUCCUUGUCUUUCAACUCUUGCUUGUAUGUAUAUAAGAGAAAAUUGUGAAGUCCCUUCCUUAAUUGAUGAACAAUCACAUACAUUAUGUUGCUUUCUUGAUUGAUUCUUUGGUUUUGUUGCACUCUACAAACUUGUUAUUUAGUUUUAUGUACUUUUUAUGAGAUAUUUUUAUUUUUACAUAUAAGAGAUCGGCAUUUUUAUACAUAAGAUUUGAAAAUGGAAUUUUCUUCUAUUAAAUUUGGAAGUGGUCAUAAGAAAUCAUUUCCUCUAUUUUUGUGUGUGAGAGGUUAAAGUAAUUUCCGUAGUUAUGAAUUAUGAUGAUGGUAUAUAACGAGGAUUACAAAACAAAAUAAAAAAAAAUAUUAGUAUUACAUAUAGUUUCAUAAUGUAUUGUAUUGUAUCAUAAAUAUAAGGUUGCUAUGAUCAAUCACAAUUCUCCUCUGCAGGAUGCUCUUACAGUUGUACUAACAUAAUUUACUCUUGUACAUGGACAUCAAAAUUUAACUUCCACUGGAGUUUAUUUUUCUUUUUUGGGAAAGGAGCCUGAUAUAUUUUUUAACUUUGCCAUUUAGAACUGAUAUAUCCCUCGUUAUGAAAGUGGCUCAUAUAUAUUCUUACCGUUAUACAAAUGACUCACAUAUACCCUUACCAUUACAAAAGGAACUCACAUAUACCCUUCAUCUAACGGAACUGAAAGAAUAGUUUUAAAUUUAUUUUUUUGACUUUAAAUUUUAAAAAAUAAAUCAUGUAGGGAUAUAUAUAUGAUCCUUCUAGCAAAGUUCAAGAUAUAUUUUAAUCUUUUUCACAAAAUUAUUUUAGACUUCUUUGAUUAUCAUUAUUCGAGUUUCUUCUUCUUCUUUUUCUCUUUCAUUCUUUAGUGUAAAAAAAUAAUUUAAACUAACUUCUUCUUUUUUGCGGCUAUAUUGUAAUUUAGUUUUUGUAUUUAUAAAAAUAAAAAAUAAUAAAAAAUGGGGCAUCUAUAAUAAAUUUUACAAGAAAUUAGUGAAACAUAAAUAAAUUUGACCAUCAAAAUAAUAAAUUUAAAUUAGUCGUUGAAACAAAAAAGUCAAAAAAAAUAUGUGUGGGGUAUAAUCCAUAUACCCAUGUAGAUUUAUUUUUUUUCAAAAGAAUAAUUAAAAAAUUAAAUUAAAAUUAUUUUUUUCACUUCCGUUGGAGGAAAAGGUAUAUGUGAGCCAUUUGUAUAACAUUAGGGGUAUAUGUGAACCACUUUCGUAACGAGAGAUUUAUCAAAUCUAAAUGACAAAAUUGAGGGGUAUAAUCAUCCCAACUAAUCCAACUAAUUUAGAUUUUAUUGAGUAGGGCCUAUUAAAAGAUAAAAUACUUUUUACUAUGACUAUUUUAAUUCAAGACUCGAACUCGAGGUGCAUCCCACCACAUUUCUAAGUGAUAUGUAACUCUCAUCAAUUAUUAUUCUCUUAAAUUUAUUAAAGUUGAAGUGAAGGUAAUGAUAGAAAAAUUACUUUGAAGAUGCCUUUUAGGAUAAAGUGCGUGCCUUUUUAGGGUGUCCAGCUUCGCAAUUUUUUAUUUUUCUAUUUUUGAAAAAAGGAGAUAAUUUGGGACUCUUUGGUGAUUAAUUAUUAGGGAAAUUAUGCGGAUAAGUAAACAUAUACUACUAAUUAAUUAGCUAACAUAUCUACAGUUUGAACUAAUUGCGACUCGCAGCUUAAUUUUAGUUGUAAUUACGUAGCCUCUCUCCUCUUUUAUACAUAUACAAAUAUAAAUUAUACAUAUAUAUAUAUAUAUAUAUAUAUAUAAUUAUAUGACAGAUAUACAAAUACAACUAGUCCCUCUCCACUCUCUGUCCUCUUUCGCUCGCCUCUCUCCUCCCUCUCCCAAUCUCGCUCGCCAGAUAUACAAAUACAUAUGUAUACCAGUUACAUAUAUACAAUUAUCUGACAAAUAUACAUAUACAGUUCGCCUCUCCUCCCUCUCCAAAUCCCGCUCGCCAGAUAUACAAAUACAUAUGUAUACCAGUUACAUAUAUAUAAUUAUUUGACAGAUAUACAUAUACAAUCGACAUAUAUACAUGUACUGUUCGCCUCUCUCCUCCCUCUCCUAAUCUCGAUCGCCUAUCCUCCCUCUCCCAAUCUCGUUCGCCAGAUAUACAAAUACAUAUGCAUACCAGUUACAUUUAUACAAUUAUUUGACAGAUAUACAUAUACAAUUCGACAUAUAUACAUGUACAGUUCCCCUCUCUCCUCCCUCUCCCAAUAUCACCCGCCUCUCUCUUCCUCUAACAUAUAGCUAUGAAUCGUAAGUAGCAAAUUAUAGUUAUGGAGCAUAAUUAAAUUAUUUUUGAGCUAUGCGAAAAUUUCCCUUAAUUAUUUGACAUUAUUCUGUUCAUCAGAUUAUUGAUCUAGACAGCUGGAAAUUUGGUAGUUAACUAGUUUUAUACGCAUAAAAACAACAUAACAAGUGCAAGUUGCUUAUAUUAAAUGAUUAAUGAAUUGGCAAUAAUGGAGUUUAGGUUUAGGUGAAGAUAUGGUGGAAUACUUUAAACCAGUAUUAUAAUUCCUCAAAUCUUUUUUACUGUAUUAAAUUCAGAUUUCUCUAUCACAACUAAGUAUUAUAAUAUUAUGAACAACAAAAGAAGAGAGAUCUUAUCUUUUUAAUUAGUUACUCCUCCACAUAGUAUAAGUGAUUAAUCUACUUUGAUUAUAUCUAAUAUUUUAAUCAUAAUUUUUUUUUCUUUUUCUCUUUUUUACUUCUUAAAUCAUGUUCUGAAAAUUAAGAAUCUAUUCGAAAUAAUUUUUUAUCUAAUAAAAAUAGAGAUAAGGUCUGCGUACACUUUAUCCUUUUCAGAUUUCGCUUAGAAUUUAUUGUUGUAUAUAGUAUGAGUGAUUCUAUUUUGUCUCAGGUAUUUUCUAAGGACUAGUUGAAGUCGACAGGUGAACCUUAUAGUAUUAAGUUCAUAUUAUAUGAUAUUAGGGGAUUUUUAGUUCUUUCUUUUUUCAAAGUUAAGUAGUACUUAGUUCUUUAGUUAAUGUUCAUGAAAAGGACAGUGAGACUAAAAUUUAAAAGUGCAAAAGGCAAAGAGGAUUAAGAAAAACACAAGAAGGUUCACAAAAGCAAUAACACUUCAUUUUGAUUUGAAGAUCAAAAGGCUAAAACAAAUAACAAUGAUUUCAUUUUUCUGAUAACUUUAUUUUUAAAUAAGGUCAUUCACAUAAUUUAAUUUAUAUUAGAACAUUAAGAGAUUCUAUAUUUGAUUCUCUUCAUUAACUAUUAGUAACAUAUUAUUUUUCAGAUUCUGCAUUCGAGUCUAUUCAUUAUCCAUUUAGCAAAUCAUUUUUGCAUGCUACUUUUUAGAUGAAACGGAUCUCAAAAAAAAAAUAAAAAAAUUACUAAACUCCAAAUACUGAAUUUAUAGCUUGUUUAGUCGAGUUCUAAAAUCAGUUUAUUUUGAAAAAUAAUUUUAAAGUACUUUUAGCGAUAAUUAAUUUGUGUUUGAGCAAUCAAUUUAAAAAUACUUUUGAACAAUAAUUAAAUUUUAUCAAGUUCUUUUCAAAGUGUUUCUAAGUGUAUUUUUUCAAUAGUGUACUUCAAAAAAUUGUUUUUGCGUUUUAUUUUAAACUUCUAAAAAAUAAUUUUUAUUGCUUCCCAGAAACACUUAUUUUCUCUCAAAAACUAAACGAAACACCUUACUAUUUUAUAAGUACUUUAAACUCUCAAACGUUUGGCCAAACCGGCUAACCUUGAGUUUCUAUUUUAAAUUUGUUUUGAGCUAAUUAACUUAAAAAUAUUUCUAUCAAUAUUAAAGCAUCAAUUUGUGUUUGACCAAAUUAAAGUUUCAAAAAUACUUUUUGGUUUAUUAUAUAUAUUACAACUCAAAAAAAAUUGUCAUCUUAAAGACAGGAUCAAACACAUCAGUUCUCUAAAACAAUUUCUUUUAAAAUAUAUUUUUUAACUCCCUAAAAACUUAUCCAACAUACCAUAAUCAUUAAAAUAUUUGACAAUUUAUAUAGCAUAAUUUUUUCCUAGAUUACACAUAUAUACAAUUCUAUUUUUGUUGGAAAAAAUGAAACACGAGAAUUAUGAGCAGCUUAUUAAAAACUUAAAAUAGAAACAUUCCUUCUCUUUCUUUCUUUUUUUGUUCCUUUCUUAUUUUUAGACAUGUAUAUAAGUGAAUUAGCGCAUCUGCUGAAUUAGAUAACUGAUCUUUGUAGCUAUCCAAGUCAAACAGUCAUUCGCACGCAGUCCAACUUUACUUGAAAAAAAAAGAUAAAAGGAAAAGAAAUGUUGGUAGCAACAAAAUAUUUCCUCCGUUUAUUUUUACUUAUCCAUCAUAUUAAAAAUAAUUAUCCAAUAAUAAUAAUUCAGUUUGGAAAAUUAAGGGAUAAUUUAUCUUUUUGUGUUUAUUUCCCCUUUGAUAUUAAAUGUUAUUCAAUGAGUAUCUAAUAUAUUUCCCAAAGUAUUAAAUUUAACAUAUUUAAAGUAUAAUAUAAUAUAUUAAAUUUAUUCUUAUUAUUUAUUAUUUUUUAAGAGGUGUAAGUUAAUAGUGGACAACUAUAUUGAAGAAGUACAUAUUAGAUCAUUAACCAUGACUCACCACGUGCGAAUACGUUUAUUUCGAUCAAAGAAGAAAAUUACUAAAUUAACAACACCCAAUUUAGCGUUUUCUUAAAAAUCAAUAUUAGAGCAUUAAUUUUGCGUUUAUAAAAAAAAUAAAAUAAAAAAAGAGGUUUUUUUCUUCGAUUUAUGCUAUAACUCAAAGAAAAAUUAUCACCCUAAAAACAUAAUCAAGUACAUCAAUUCUCUGAAUUUUAUUUUAUUUUUUUAAAAUAAAAUAUACCCUUGACUUCCUAAAAACUUGACUAACAGGUAGAGUUGUCAACAUGGGUCAGGUCCGUUAGGUCGGUCUGGCCUAAUCCGUGAUUUGAUAGUGUUGAACUAUGAUUUUUGGAUCCUAUUUAAGAAAGGGAAAAUUGUAUAUAAUAGCAAACUAUUAAUUCAAAUUAAAUGCUAUAAAUAUAGUUUGAUUUAAUUGUACUUCAUAGCAAAUUGUUGCUAUUUCACCUCUCUCCUGGUGAGUCUUGCUCGUUCUCUCCCUCGCCUCUCUUGUUUUUUAUACAAACGCAAGUGUAUAAAGUGCGUUUGUGUUUGUAUAAAGCGAGAGAAAAUUGUAUAUAUACAUAUAUUUUCGUUCCCCUCUCUCCCCUCUCCCAGAUCUCGCUCGCCACUCUCCCAGAUCUCGCUCUCUCACUCGCCUCUCUCACUUUAUACAAAAAACGCAAAUUGUAUAAAAUGCGUUUGUGUUUGUAUAAAGCGAGAGAAAAUUGUAUAUAUACAUAUAUUUUCGUUCCCCUCUCUCCCCUCUACCAAAUCUCGCUCACCACACUCCCAGAUCUCACUCUCUCACUCGUCUCUCCCACUUUAUACAAAAACGCAAAUGUAUAAAAUGCGUGAAAAUUGUAUAUAUACAUAUAUUUUCGUUCCCCUCUCCCAGAUCUCGCUCGCCACUCUCAUAAAUCUCGCUCGCUCACUCUCCUCUCUCACUUUAUACAAUUGAUCUUUUUGUAUAUGUAUACCAAAGCAGAUUAUACAACUGUUUUCUUUUGUAUAUGUACAGCGAAAUAUACAUAUUUAUGUUUGCUAUGGAACGCAAUUAUGCAAACUUUGCUAUAACAUACAAAUAUGAAUUUUAUAUUUGCUAUAUGUGAAAGUUGCUCUUUAAGAAAAGAGUUUUUUAGCCCAACCUGAAUAAGUCUGCCGAUUUGUGGGGCUUGAGAACUAUGGAUAGGGCGGCCUGUGGGCCAAAUAAAAAUUAAUUAAAAAAUAAAAAUAAAAGAGAUUAUUAAAAAUAACAAGAGUCUAAACUCAAAAUCUGUUUAAAAUUUGAAAUAUUACAAUUUAAAUACAAAUUAUGUUUAUAAAAAUUUCCUAAAAUUUCCAAGGAAUCACUACAUAGGCCAUAUCCUAUGAAAUAUUGUCAUAGUUUUUGUGUUUUAUUAUGAUAAUUGAAAAACAAUUCGAUUAAUAUUUCUAUUUAGCUAUUUAUGCUUUUACUUGAAAUCAAACUUAAUAAAUAUUAUAAAGAUAAUUUUAUUUGUGUAUUUGAUUAACAGUAGCAACACUAACAUCAUGUAAUAUUGUCUUGUCGAUAUAAAUGCUAAUAUUUUAAAAUUAUAAUUUAAUUAAAAAAAUUAUUAAAAAUAUAUACUUUUAAGAAAAGAGGGCUGACCUGACAAAGCAUGUAGCCCAUAUACUUAUAGGCUGGGCCAAUCAUUUUUUGGCCCACACAAAAAAUGGGCUAGCCCGACCUGACCCGUCAAAUUUCAAAGCUUAUAUAAAUUGGCCCGAAUGAAGUGGACCAGCCCAUAUUGACAGCUCUACUAAUAGGCAACAAAUUAUAACCAUCUAUAUAUAUUUGACAUUUUAUGUGUAGUAGGCUUUCUCGUACAUUUUGCAUUUCUCUUACCAAUUUGAUUAAAAUUCAAGCUGUGGACCGUGUACUCCUUUAAUUAAGCACAUUUGUUAUAUAAAAAUUGGAAAAUGGUCAAAAUUGCUCCUAAAUUCUGUGAAAUAGAUUAUUUAUACCCUUUAUUAUAUUUUGGGAUUAAAAUUGCCCAUGUCGCUAUCCUAAGAGACCACAAAUACCCUCAAGAGUUAACACCCCAAAUUUUUAUUGAUAUGGCAAGCCAUGUGGGAUUAAUCCUUCCACCUAAGCGUUGCCAACUAGGAUUCACUACAAAAGAACUAGACCUUUAGCGGCGACGACACUCGCCACAAAAGUCCAAAAUAUCGUCACUAAAGUUUUUUUAACAUUAAAUUCUGAUUUUGUGUUUUUUUUCUUCGUUGUUUCUAAAAAACCAAAAAUAAAAUCGAGUAAAGAGGAGUUUGAAGACACUGCAUGUUUUAUUUUUAUGUCAUAUGUAAAUGUAUAAAAUGUACAUUGAUGCAUUGUGUAGUAGGAGAUUUGAAUUGAGAAGUAAUUUGGAUGUUUUUAAUAUUGAUAGUGCAAGUUAUUUAUUUUAGAAAAUUAGGUUGCAACCGAAAAUUAAUUAUCAUAUUUUUUUGUUAAAAAAAUAGGUUUUACUAGCGAAUGGUUGUUGCAACAUUAGUCGCCACGAAAUCUCGAAAUAUUAUCACUAAACGUUAUGAGUGAUUUUUCGUAGCGACUUUGUCGCCGCUAAAAGUAAAGUUCUUUUGUAGUGAAUUCUAGUUGACAAUGCUUUGGUGGAGGGAUUAGUCCCAUGUGGCUUGCCAUAUCACUAAAAAUUUAGAUAGUUAACUCUUGAGGGUAUUUGUGAUUUUUUGGGAUAACCGCGGGGAUGUUUUUUAUCUCAAAAUAUAAUGAAGGGCAUAGGUGAUCUAUUUCACACUUUAGGGUUAUUUUUUUAUCCUUUUCCGUAUAAAAAUUAAGUACAAGGAUGGUGCCCUUUAACUUAGCUACUUAUAUUUAUAUUUUUCAAUUUUAAUAUAUCAUCCGUAGAUAUUUAAAUAUGUAUAAAAUUAAAUAAACAUACACAUUUAUUUUAUACGACAUAAUCACAUAAUAUAUAUAAAAUGUAUAUAUAUUCACUUAUUUAAUUUUAUACAAAUUUAAAGUAUUAAUUUACGUAAAUAUAUGCAAAGCAUAAAAACAAAAGGCGAGUCCAGGUCCAUCACGUGAUGGUCCAUAGGUGGACCACCAAGCCAAAAUUAGUGAUAGUGGAGGCCCACGGAUGGUCCCCACGUGUCCAUACUAUUUUGUCCAUUAUCUAAUUUUGGGUCCCACAAAUAGCUCUUUUAACCCAAAUGCUUUGUAUCAUUGCAUAACGACAGCACAGAUGGAAAUUUCCCCAUAAAUGGAUGGGACCCACUAUUGUUGUGUAGCAGAAUGAAUCUUGUGCACUAUUCAUUGGUGGAGUUAAGAUGAGUCAUUUAUCAAACUUCUGGAUAAGGUCGACAUCUGUCCCCUUCACUUCCUACUAAUAAGUGCCGAGAUUUUGUUAUCUCGUCAUACUUUGUACUCUCUCCAUCUCAUUUUAUAUGUCACAUUUUUACUUUACAUUUAUAUUAAAAAAUGAUGUAAUUUUACUUUUCUAUUCUUAUUUAAUUUUUUUGGAACUCAAGUUUUCAAUCAAUGAAUAUGAAUUAAUUUAACCAAUGAACAUAAAUCAUUUACUUAAUUUUUUAAAUUGGUCAAAUGUAUGUUUUCAAUGCUAAUAACUCACAAGGAUAAAAAGGAACAAUAUGCUAAUUUAUGCAUUGAUUUUAUAAAAUGACAAGUAUUAUGGACCAACUAUUUAUAAAAAGAGAUGACAUAUAAAAUGGGAUGGAGGGAGUACAUUCUAUCAUUUCGAAAUUCUCAAUUCACGGAGUGUAAUUUUAUACAUCUUCUUGGCUUGCGUGACCUCCAAAUAUCUGUUACGCGCUUAUCUAAGUGGAGUCAUGAAGUGUGUCAUAUAAAUAAAAAAAAUAUAAAAUUACAAAAAAUUAAAUUCAUAAAAUAAUAAAAUCUUAUUCUAGUUAGGAUGCGUUUCUGAAAUUUCGAUCAUAAUACUUAUGGCUGAUCCUUAAAAAGUAAGUAGGUUAUUCUUUGAAAUUGAGGAGUUUGGUGAUUAAUUUAGACUACAAAGAAUAUUAGAAGUAAAGGUAGACAUGUGACAAUACGGAUUGGAUAAGAAUUUAGUCCCACUUUUGUAUUAAGACUUGAUCUUAAAAGAUUUUUCAUGUUUACACUUCAAUAAAUUAAGCAAGCUAGUUAUAUAGCUUGUUUAGCAUAAGAUAAAGUAUUAGUAUCACAUAUAUAUAUAUAUAUAUAUAUAUAUUAAAUGUGUUCGAAUGUGAUUCAAAUAUUAAAAGGAUGGACGUCUAACAUGAAAAAAAAUAAAAUUUGAUGUGAAGUUUCAAUAUUUGAAUUCAAUAUUUUUUAAUCCAAUCUGUAUUAAAUAAGUUUAGAUUAAAUUAUUGAUUAAGUCAAUUUUGAGUUGAUUAUUUUGAAUCUUUGAUUUAAGCCUAUAUAUUGAGUGUUUUUUUUAGCAAAGGAUUAGGUGGGUUGAUAGGGUAGUAAAUGUUUGAUUAAUAGUCUAUUGAACUUAUUGGGCAUUAAUGUCUAACGGAUAUAGGAGUGGACAUAAAUAUCGAAAAAUUAAAAAAUCAAAUUAAACUAAUUCGGUUCUUUGGUUUUGAUUCUUUGAUUUUUUGAUUUUUCGAUUUGGUGUCGAUGUUAUUUUUUCAAAAGUUCGGUUCUUCGGUUCGGUGCAACUUGUAAGGGUCUUAGAAUUUAGGUGCACCGAAGAACCAAACUUUUAUAAAAAAAAAAUAAUUGCAUUCUCUUAACUAAAUAUGAAAAAUCAACUAACAAUUAAAUCAUUUAUAAACAAAUCAAAGUAACAACUAAUGUACAAUUCAAUAGUUAACUUCAAUUAUUAAUUCCCAAGAGAAAUCUAAAGAUAUUUUUAUCAAUGUACAUUACCCAUCUUUAUCCUUGUUUUUUUCGAAAAAUAGUUGGAGGCACAUUGUGAUUAGAAGCAGUUAACUGCUCCUAAUCAUUAUGCACUGGAUAAAGUAUCUUGACACUAUGACCGGCCUUCUUGGCCAUAGUGAUUAACUGCUCCUAAUCACUAAGAUAAGAGUUCAAGUCCAGUAACAUAAAAAAAAAAGUAAUGAUAUUUAUUAUAUUAUCCAUUAUAAAGAAAAAGGUAUAAUUUUGUACCAACAAUAAUCAUAAAUUAUCAAUAUGUUGGUGCAUCAAAUUCCAACGGAUGAAAUUUUAAUUAGACACUUCAAAAUUCACCUUUUUUACCUAAAUUAAUUAUAUUUAAUUUAAAAUUUAUCAUUCAGUAUCUUUUUUCCAGGAAAAUAAAUUAUUUUUGGAAGCUAUAAACCAGGUCCAAUUUGUAUGGAGAUAAGAUUGAGCAUUCUAAUCGUACAAUAGUCAGUAGCUUUCUUGAAGGGGACAAGUUAAUUUUUACACAUCAGUAUUUUCUUAUCUUCUUUUAUUUACCAAAAUAAGUAUAAGUAAUACUUCCUCCGUCCACUUUUAAUUGUCAUGAUUUCUAUUUUUAGAUUCAAACUAUAAAAACUUUGACUAAUAUUUUAAAAUGUAUUUUUUCAUCAUAUUGAUAUGCAAAAAAUUGCAAUUUAUAGUACUUUUCAUAUAGUUUUUGAAUAUCUAAAUUUUUUGCUUAAAAUAUCGAAUUAAUGUAAUCUAAUUUAACUUUGAAAAUUAGUCAAAUUGACUUUCGAAAAACGCAACAUAACAAAUAAAAGUGGACAGAGGGAGUAAUUAUAAAUAAACGAGAUGGUUUUCAUCUCGCGAGAAAAAAAGACAUAUCGUAAAGCGAAUAUGUCCAAACCUCGAUAACUUAGCCCAUCAAUCACCAGUAAUAUCAUAAAACCACUAUUUCUUCACAAGUUUCCUGUUUCUGGUUUUCCAAAACCACUCUUCCUUUUUUUGCCUAUAAAAAGGGCCUUCUCUUCUUUCAUUUCUCAUUGCUCACAAGCACUUUGAAGCUUCCUUGAAUCAUCAUCAGUAUAACUAAAUUCUUAUUUUUAACUUUAACUUAAAUUCAAGUUCAAAAUUAAUCAAUCAUGAGUUAUCUUAACCGCGUUUGGGUAGCCACAACCGUCGCCGUCGUAAACAGCCACGCCGAUCACGGCCAGAAAUUGAAAUCCGGCAUCCAAUCUCUAAACCACGGCAAAAAACGAUUCUCCUCUUCUGUCGCUUCCGGCGCCGACGUUGCCGGUCUCCGGCCGAUGUCCGGUAUGUUAGGAUCUGAUGUCGGCGGGUUCAUCGGAGGCGGAAAAGGCGAGGAGAAGAGGAAACAAACUGAUGAGUCACUCCGACAAGUUAUGUACCUAAGCUGCUGGGGACCAAGCUAAGGUAUGGUGGUAGAUCGGAAGUCUCCCGUUCGAUUUUAGGUGGCUAGAAGUCGCCGGCGACGGGAACGGGGAGUGAGUUGACCGAGUAGACUCGUAUCGGAGGGCGAAUGAACUGAAGUUAACUCGGCCGAUCCCGUUUGGCACUGAUUGCAGUUUUAAGACUCAGAACUACGACCACUAAUUGUAAAUUUUGUGUAUAUCCUAGUUGAACUAUUGUAAAGUUAACUACUUUUGAGCCUUUUGUCUCGCAUCAUAAUGGAAAAGGGAAAUAAAAAUGUUUACCAAACAAUAUUUUCUUCUUUUGCUUGGAAGAUUGGUACGGAAGGAGGUUUACUUUGAUAAUAGAUGGUUCAUAAAUUAUCAAGUUAAUACCAGAAUAAUUAAAUUUAUGUCAAAUUUUUAUUAAUAAUUAGUAGAUUUCUUAUUAAAGCUAUUAAAAUAGACCGUCUAGAUCUAUGGCGAUCGAUCGGAGCAGGACUUGAAUAAAUUUUCUGGUUAACUGGAAGCUCGAAAUGAGGGUCAAAGAAUUGAUCCAUUUCCUGUUCUUGGACUCAAGUACUACACAUGGCAAGUCUGUGAUCUUUUAUUCUCUGCCAAUAGUAAUAAUAAUAAUAAAAAAGUGCGAUCGCUUCACUACUAUAAAUAAAUAAAAAUUUAAAUAAAAUAAAAUGAUAUAGAAACAUGAAGGGUGAGACGACGAAGGGCAGUUUUGAAAAUAUGUCUGUAUUCAAGGGUAAGAUAAUAGUUGCAUCUUAGUGGAAUUAUAGAAGGAUGUGGACGUUUCAUUUUCCAUUCCUAAUGAGACACUAGCAAAAGUCUUUUCUCUUUACCCAAAAAAAAUAAUCUUCUUUUCAAGUUUUAUUUUUAGUAGUAAUCCAAGGUAUGAUUUUUCUUUCAAAAAUUCUGAAAGUUGUCUUCUUCAUGUUAAAGUUGUUCUUCAAGACCGUAUGAACAUGUUCCUCUUCAAAUUCAUUUUUUUUUCUUUGAGUUUUUUCUGGAUUCACACUGUAAUAGUAACCAAUAUCCAUAAAAAUGCCUACAUCAAUUUGCUAAAUUUUCUUAGGAUCUUGGCUUCUUUUUCCCAAUUACUUUGUAGUUUUAUUCUCAAAUAUAAUGAAGGGUGUGAAUUUGAUGAAAAUAUUUUGCGAAAUAAUAAAUGAACACACAUUUUCAUAAUCUUGGAGGUAAAAUGUAGUUAGAGGCUUAGAGCAGAGGGAUUAUUUCGAGUUCCAGGGAAGGUGAGUAGGCAGGCUUGUUUCAUAUAAAAAUCUCACCUGCACCAGUCAAAUCUUAUAUAAGGGCCUCUUUCAUCAAAAUCCUUUUCUAAAAAUCCUCAUUACCCUUCAGCAAAUUGGAGGUAUGUUUUUCUUUCAAAUAUCUAUAUGUUUGUUUUCCUUAAAAUCUUACAACAUGUCUAUAUUUGGUGAAUUUUCUCUGGUUUAUCAGCAUGCAAGUCUUCAAUUUCCUCUUCUACUCCAUUUAUAAAAAAUAAAAACAAAAAGAUUUCUGUUUCGCACUGUAUUAUAAACGAAUAUCCAUAAAAAUUACCCAAUUUUCUUUGUACCUAGAUUUUUAAUUUUCAUUUCUUUUGGAUCAAUGUUUAUUCUUUUUACUUUUUUAAAAAAUAGUUUGUUACCAAGUAUCAAUGGAGUCUGUGCAUUUGAUGAAAAUAUUCAUCAAUAGUAAUAAAUACUAAUUGCAAAAUUGAUAUUGAGGAUGAGAAGUGUAAGAGUUAAAAAUAAAUUAAAACGUUGUUAAGGGAUACUCAGAUCUAGAAUAAUCUUUUAAGGGUAUAAUUGUCAAUUGGUACAAUAUUUAAUUUAAUGGUACUUAUUCACAAAUUUCUCUCCACGUGGAGAAAUUUCAAAUACAAAUACAAAAAUAUAUAUAUCUCUCGAGAAAUUUCUACUUAUGCUUGAAAUAAACAAUUAGGUUUCACCUACUCCCAAAAACUUCUUCUUCCGGCGGUUCAUCUUCUGGUUUACCAUAUUGUUGAUUCUAACUUCGUCUGUUCUUCAGGUUCUUUCAAUUUCAGGUAACUUUUUUUUAUUCUUGUCUUAAGCUUGUUUGAUUUUCAUUAAAAACUUGUGGAGAUGUUGACAUGGUAUUAUUGACAAUAGUAGGAUCUGGAACAAAUUCUAUGAGUUUUUCCGGUUUCCUUUAUAUUUUUUUUCUGUUCAACUGACUGAUUAACAUCAUUCCAUGGCUUAACAAAAAGUAGCGCUCAUUAUAUGAAUCUCAUUAUUUUAAUCUAUGUGUUUGUAAUUACACACCUCACUUAUUUAAUAUUGAAACAUAGUUGUUAUUGGUUUGUUUAUGAACUUGAAUCAACUGAGUAUAUAUUUCGAUAGCCUCUACUCGCUUAUACUAUUAUAAAGACUUGGAUAAUUAGCUACUUUACUGAUUGUGUUGUUGCACGAAAAUACUUGAACAAGGGUGCUUGAAAGUAUAUGAAAUUGAUUCUAUUUUUUAAUCUAUAUUGAAAUCUGUACUUGUAUUUAAGAUGAGCAUUGUGUUUUGCGAUAUUUAAGUGCUACAACAUUGAUGAGUUGCAAAUAUAUUUAUUUUGUUCUCAUGGUUAUAGUUGGAAAUAGUUCAUCUUGAUCUUUUGUUCAGUUGAUCGUUUUGUAUUCUUCUAUUCAGCUUGUGUGUUUUUAGCUCUCUUUUGUUUAACAAUGGUUGUUUGAUUAUUCCAGAUUAUGUUCGUAUAACUCUUAUGAAAAAUGAAAAAUAAAUACUUCAUCUUACAAGGAAUUCUUCCUAUUAAAAUAAAACCUCACUUGUCAUGUAAAAGAUAAUGGAUCACUGUAACAGAAACUCCACGUUCUCGAAUUAGUGAAUGCACAACUCGGAAUCAUGACAGACACCCUAGACAUUCUCAUAUUCUACAAGUUUACUGUAAUAUAUAAACUACACCAUUCAACCAUAGUAAUGGUUAUGCAGAGUUAGUAAAAUUAAUAAUACAAUGUAGAAAGUCAACUUCUCCAGAUUCUCCCUACUUUCAGGACUACAAUAGAAUUCUAUAAUGGUAUUUAAUAUUUUAGUCCUUGUGAUAGUAAAUUGCUGAACUUUUUUUCAAAUGUGAUGUUCUGUUUCAAAUUUAGACUCGGUUGAGAUGUAGUUCAACAAAAAGCAAGAAAACCCAAAAAUGUAAUGCACAAUUUAUCUGUAGGACAGUUAUGAAGCGGACUUAAGCUACCACUAACUUCUCUUUUGUCAAUAUGAUUUCAAAAGAAGUUCUACUAUGUAGAAAAAAAUUGUGAAAUUUGAAGACUUUUAAGUAGUGGAGUUGCGGUGUCCAGUUCCGGUGUCUUAUAAGUUACUACCUCCACUCUUGAUAAAUAGUAUUAUUAUCCAUGGUUUCUGCUCCUUCACAGUGUCGCACAGAUGCACAAACUCCGUAGUUUGAUAAUUUUUUAAUGAAGAAUUGUAGGGAGCAGGAAGCCUGCCAACCAAUCACUGUUUUUUUUGUCCUAGCUGAGUUUUCCAACGACCAACAUCAACAUCACAUGAUCUUGUGGCAUUCUUAAUGCGGCACUUCACAGUAUGGCAAAGAGAGAAGCUUAUGAUAUUACUUAAGAGAAGGGGCGUAGCAGUUCUUCUUUCAAGCUCAAAAUAGGCCGUCUAUUGCUAUAUCUCCUUCCUGAUCCCCCCGGAAUCACGAAGGGAGUGAGAAGAUAUUCCAAUGGACACCCUUUCGAGAAAAAGGUAUUUUUGCCUUAAAAUGUAGUUGCGAGAGUUAGAGGUGGAACCCAUUGGACAAUCAUAUGUCUGCUAUUGUAGUUGUUAUCCGAUCUACAUGUUCAGUUAGUGCUACCACUAAUACGAACUAUAAUGCAGUUCUUGGCAAUUAUAAUUCUCUAACUUUUACACUUAGACUCUGCAAGUAUAUAGCUUCUUUGGUCCAAACUACCACAAUUAUUUUUUGUAUUGAUCCACGAUUGGAUGUAUGACCGUUAGGAUCCUCUGGGAAUUUACAUCCAGUUUUGAUAAAAAUGAAACAGAAAGCUGUAUUUUGUUAGAGAGAAAAAAUAGGAAACUGUAUCGAAGGAUGGUUGUACAAACCAGAUCAGAUUGACUGUCUGGACAAUUCUGAAAUAUAUAAAAUGAGAAUAGUUUUGAGGCCCCAAAAUGGUAUAGACUUCGAAGGGCUGAACUUUCUCAUCAUUUAGGUCCUCUCUUUGUUGUUAUAUUUUGUACUUCGACUUACUUCAUUUUUUUUUCCUUGUGGUAUAGAAAGGUGCAAAAAUUCCUUUAGUUGAUAUUGUAUCCUAUUAUCACCAGAAUAUUAAGAGAUCCAUCUUCAUUUGUGUACUCUUUCCUGAACAAAAAUGCAUCACAGGCUUAAGUUGUUAACUUAGAAGUUUAAUGAAUCAACCUUCGCUGAUAUGAGAAACUCAAAUCAUGCCAUCAUUAGUAAUAGGACAAUGUUUUUACCUUUAUAGAAUAUUUGAUGUCUUUUCUCCAGAGUAAACAUUUGUCUCUUUGUCUUGGCUUCAUUCACUUACAUUAAGUAACAAGAUUAUUGACCAAAAUUUUCAAUUUUCUAUCAUUUGACAUUGGCAGAUAUUGUUAAAACGUGAUGACAAUAUAACAUUCUACAGUUUUUUGUUAGGCCUUUCAUUAAGAGAAUAGUGUUACGGAGUACAUUGCCCUUUUCCUCUGCUCAAUCACUCCAAUUCUUAAUCACUACUGGAGUUUGAUAGCGUGAGAAUUGAUAUACUCUUAGCUCUCCUAAUAAUAGGAUUUAAUCAUUUGUAAUUUCAAAGCUUAAAAUCCAAAAGUAAGUGUUUGCAUUCAAUUGUAUUUUCUGCAAUUGUAGUGCUGAUAUAUUUUGGAAUGACUUUUCAUAGUGUCAAAAGUAACCACAUUCAAAUGACAUGUUGGGUCCGUGUUAGCACGGGCCAUACCUAUCUAGUAUAUUAUAACACUAUUACAUAUUUAUUCCGAAAGGUACAAAUUCCGGGUCAGUAAUUUUAUUCAGCCCAAUAACUCUUCAUCCGAUAUAACUGGGCUAAUGAUUUUGUUUAGCCCAACAACUUUUCUCCGUAAGUCAGGCAGUCCGAUUAGGAACAAACCUCAAACCGGUGAAGUCUCUCUUUUUUUAUUUCUAUAUGAAUUUUGCAGUUUUGAAUUAUGUUAAUUAGAUAGAUUUACAAAUAACACAUGAAUUAGGGAUAAUUGUUACGCAAACCUGUUUGGAUUGUGAUGUGUGUAUCCCUUUAUAUAUUGACCUAGUUUUGUGAUUUGAUACAGAAAGCUAUUCAAUCUCUUAGAUUACUCAAUUCCAAGUUAUCUUGAAAAUCCAACAGCAUGCCACUGUUUGAAAUAAGUAAGUUUUUUUUUAUGUUUGUAAAGUUUAUUCUUUAAUUACUUAUGAUGUGAUGUUGCUGAUUACGAACUAGUACAAUUUUAUCCGUUUUUUACUUCUAUGAUAUUGCCGUUAAACCUAGCACCAAAUAUAGAUUGGUGAAAAGAAAUUACCCUUCGGUGACCUAGUGGUUUGGGCUUGAGACGUUGUAGGUCUCAAGUUUGAAACUCCUUGUCAACUAAAGCAAGAAAUUUGUCUCCUGGGCCGAGCUCGUCGCACAAGCUUGCCUAGUGUGGAUUACCUCUCUUGUGUAGUUUGCGAGCUAUUGCUUUAAAGCGGGCUUUUACCUGUGCGCACCAAUUCUGUCAAGGGUUGUCAAAAUUUAACAUUAGUUAUAUCAUUGGCACAUAUCCUCCAAGGUGUUUGUGAUUUAUGCUCCAUAGACUCUCUAAAGGGGAGUGAACAAACCUCUUGCUUUUGCCAUUCCCCUUGGGUAAAAUUUAUGGUUAUCCUUUUUUGAUUGAUUCAGGGCGCUGCCCCCCUUUCUUAGAAUUAGAACCCAUUGAGGGGCCUCAACCCGGAGUUGGUUAUCCAAUGAUGAUUAAAAGUGGAUCAACCCAUAUCAUAGAAUAUAUCAAUUUCUGCACUUAUGUUAUUCUUAUUUGACUCGUGUUUUGAUGAUUAUGGCAGUAUAUCACCUUGGUGUUACUGAGUGAGGCAACUAGCAAGGCCUAUAGCUUGUGCCAUGAGAAAAGGUGUCAACAUGCAUCCCAGCCUCCAACGAACCCUUGCUCAAACAGCUAAGGUAUCACUCCAAAAAAUCACAAUCUCCUGUUUGCAAAGGUAGUACUACCACCCCACAAAUCAACUACUAACACUUUUUUUAAUAACUCAGACUCACAAAACAGAGGAAAAGGAAGUCAUAGAGACGGUUGCUCAGCAUCUCGUUAUCCAUACGAUAGCACUCAGUGCACUGGUCUACUAUAUUACAUCAAAUGAUCAAGAAACUGAACGAAAGCAGAAGCAGUUGGAUGAGCUGAAACAAGAAGGCAAGAACUGGACCAAAAGUUAUUAGAGUACCAGAAUAGGAUACGACUUUUGUAUGAAUAAAUCUCUCAGUAUAGACUCUUCUCAUUCUUCUCUUCUAUUGCAAUUGGGACCAAAUUGAUUUCUGGGUAGAAUUUAAAGUUUCUUUUUUGGAAAAUUCCUGUAACGCCUAUUUAGUACUUUCUUUUUUGUUCCAUUGAAAUUGCAUGUUUUAAUAUGGUAAUUCUUUGUUAAAUAGAUUUACCAAAUAAGUAACACCUUAUUGUGUUAAUUGUUAAUCAACUUCCAAUUUAUGCACUCAUCACUUGCCUUCAAGAGAGUGUGCACAUUGAGAAAUUGAACCUUUUCAUUGUGUCUUUCUAAGGGGAAAUACAUUUCUAUGAAGACAAAUUGUGUCUUUCUCUCAAUUCUCUUCUAAGAUAUUAGUACAAUACUUCCCUAGACAGAGCUACAAGUUCGUCUACGGAUCACUUAAUAUAUGUAAAUAAUUUGUUUGAGAUUCAGUUAUAAGUUAUCAAAAGAGUUACUUUUUUUAAGAGAGAGAGAGAGUGUUUGAAUACACCUAACUAAACGUAAAUUAUUAGUUUCAUCCUCGAACUAUUAACAUUAAAAUUAAUUCUUUACUUGACUAACUGAAUUUAAAUAUACCUCCAAUCUUGCAAUAUGAGCAAAAUACACCCUUAAAUUCUCGUCAAGUUUAGGAGUGUUUAACACUUCUCUCUACUUUUUAUUAAGACUUGCAUGUCAUAGAAGAGUUUGAAACCACUUGCUAUGUCGUGUGGCAGAUCGAUGAUGUAUCUAAGUUUAGUUAGUCAAGUAGAUGAGUAAUUUUAAAACUGUCAGACGAAACUAAUAAUUUAUAUCAAAUUCAGGAAUAUUUUCGACACAUCUUUCAUUUUUUUUUAUUUCUUACAAUAGACUUCAGUAACUGAUUAAAUCUUGGACCUUAAUUUCCUUGUAACAUAUGUCUACAUCUAGUAUACAAGAAAAGUCCAUUUUGACGGAGAAUCACAUUAUUAUUCUAGUAAUUUAAAACCACUGCUUUAAUAUGUGGAGCCUAGCAAGUUAGUAGUAUAUCAAUAUCAAUCGACAAUAAUAAUUCAUAAAUAUGUCACUGUUAAUGCAGCAUUCCUCUUACUUUCCUUCUCUGUCUUUUUAUUUUUGGUGUCUUCCUUCUCUUAAAUUUUCGUCCAAGAAAGUAAUAUAAUUUCUAAUAUGAGUCUCCCAAUUAGAGUUCUUUUAAAAAAGUAACGUUCACAUAUCAAAUUUUGCACUCAAUAUCAUCGUACCAUUAUUGUGCACCUCUUGGACAAAAGAAAAGUCCAUUAAUAAGGAGCUUUACAUGAUCCUGUAAAGCCAAUUUUAUUUUUUUCCAACUUCCUAUAAAGCCAUUCUAUUUUACUAUUUGCGGGGCACACUGAUUAUAAGUGUUUUCGUAUCAUUUCAAGGCUUGUGGCACCAUGAAUUAUAUAUCUAUACAAACUUUAUUGAAAUAAAUUGAAUAGGGAUACAUAAUAGAAAAAAAAUGGGAUAUAAAUAAUCAGUUCCUUCCUUUUUGGACUCCCAACGCCUUUUGGAUGAAGUAGCGGCUCGUGAAGAUUAUUUUCUUUUAAUUAAAAUAAACUUCUAGCCUCGAAGGACAAUGAUUUGCCACAUACAUCCUAUAAAUUUUAAACAUAUAAGCAUGAACGCUCAUUUAGGUCGGGGGUCAUUUUAGACUAAAUGCGGUCUUUCUAUUGAACCCAAUACAUCUUGGGUAUUAGGUCAUUUUAGAUCGAUGCCCCAAAUCAUGAUUUUGACUUUGCUCUACGCUUAUUGACUAAGAGUGAGUUUUAUUGAAAAUAAACUGGUCACCCAAGUUGGACAAACUGUGGAAUGAAGAUAAUAAACGGUAUUGGACGAUCAUGAACCAACUACCCUUUUACUACUCCAAAAAGUAGGAUAUUGUUCUGAAGAAAUGAAUGCGAAUAGUCAUAUAAUCGCUCUUUUCCUUAUGCAUUUAAUUUGCCAUGUGACGGAGUUGUAUGCCAUGAAUUGCGACAAUAUAUAAUUUGCGGAAUUUAAAUAUAUAUAUAUAUAUAUAGAUCCAACACAAAGAAACCUUUUUAGGAAAUUUGAUUAAGUUAAUUAAACCAAAGUUAAAAACUAAAGCUAAUAUAAAAUACAAUCAGGUAGCUAAAUAAGCAAAGAGAAAAAGAAAUUGUCUAGUUUCUGUCCGCCUGGACCAACAGUUGGGCCCUUUUGUUGCUGAGUUUUGGGGCUUUUGCCCCAUCUUGUUGUAUAUCAGGUAUACUGAUUAUAUAUACAUGGUGUAUAUCAUAUGUAUAUCAGAUGUAUAACGCAUCUUCCACCUAUAUAUUUGCUUCCCUUUCAUCAUUAUCUGCUUCAAUUUCAACUUCACGUCAAACCUAUGUGCCAAAGCAAGCUCAAAGAGAAACGGGGUUCGAUGGACUCACUCGAGCACUUCACACAUACAAGGAACAAAAACUUAAAUUAAUAUCAAACAUCAAAGAUUCAUGGUAAACAAACAUAUUAAUUCUCAAUAUCCCAAUUGUUACUCUCUAUUUUUAUAAGAAAAAACUAAAUCCAUCAUGUUGUAUAGUUUGGAAUGUUGUUACAUGUUGUAUUGUAUUAUAGUGUUAGUUUAAAUACAAUGUUUGUUUUGAUUUUAGUUAAAUUCUAUUGUAUCGUAUAGUUUAAAUUCAUCAUUAGGUAACGACGGAAAGACCCAUUUUAUAUAACGGUCGAUUUGGUGUGAUCGCGUCGUUACCUUAAUAGUUUAUUCUCAUUUUAUCUUUAUUUAUUAUCUAAUAAUCAUUUUUCAUCUUUUAUCCCACCUUUUCAUAGUAGCUCUAUCCCGUACCCUACUUUUCGUGUAGGUUUAUCAUUUAAAUUAUGGAUGUGUAACAUUAUAUAACGACGGGGAACGAUAUAAUCUAUCCAAAUAUUGUAUUCAUUAAAACAAUAUGAUACGAUACAAUACAACACAAUUCAAUCCAAUACACUACAAUAUAAUAUAUUAUGAAACAAUACGUAACAACCACCCAAACAAAAGUGUAAAUAAUAGGGAUUCAAUAAAAGAUCUUGUAAUUAUCACUUCAUGCAUGAAUAGGUAUGAUGAUGCAAUGAGAUUUAACAAAUUAAUAUGAUUUGACUUACUAGAACCUCACUAUUCAUUCUAGGAAUAAAUCAUCAAUGCAAAUAGAACAAGACAAUGAGUUGCUAUACUUUCACAGCCACUGUACAAGACGAAACAAGCAAUUAUUCCUCACAAAAUAUUUUGCAAUGUAAAUUAGAUAAUUAUAUAUUUCUGUAAUUAUCCUAUUAGUAUUAGCAAAGACUUAACUAAAUUAUUAGUCUUGUAUGUAUAUAUUUUUUCUUUCUUUGUACCUUUUUUCUUUAACGUCUACACUUUAUUUCGUUUAAAGGCCCAACGGACCUUCAAAUUUUUUAUUGUAGUAUACACAUCUUUAAUUGAUUUGAAAGACAGAAUGUUUUAGUAAUGUUGAAUAUAAGCCCAAAGUCGAAAACUUUUUCUACUUCAAGCCUUCAUAUAACCACAGGAAAAUUACUAAUAUACGUAUGUAUUAUAAAUCUAAAACUAAUAUUAACAUAAGUUAGUUAUUUUCUUAUAUAGUACUUAUGACAUUUUCAAAGGGAAAAUUGUAUAAAAUAGCAAACUAUUAAUUCAAAUUAAAUGUUAUAGCCAUAGUUUAUUUUAAUUGUAAUUCGUAGCAAACAUCCCCUUUUUUUGCCAUCUGAUUCGGUAUACGAUUAGCCAUUUUAUACAUUUCGGUAUAAAAUGUAUAAAAUGCGUUUGCGUUUGUAUAAAGCGAGAGAAAAGUGUAUAUACAAAUACAAAUACAUAUAUUUUCGUCCUAUACACUUANNNNNNNNNNNNNNNNNNNNNNNNNNNNNNNNNNNNNNNNNNNNNNNNNNNNNNNNNNNNNNNNNNNNNNNNNNNNNNNNNNNNNNNNNNNNNNNNNNNNNNNNNNNNNNNNNNNNNNNNNNNNNNNNNNNNNNNNNNNNNNNNNNNNNNNNNNNNNNNNNNNNNNNNNNNNNNNNNNNNNNNNNNNNNNNNNNNNNNNNNNNNNNNNNNNNNNNNNNNNNNNNNNNNNNNNNNNNNNNNNNNNNNNNNNNNNNNNNNNNNNNNNNNNNNNNNNNNNNNNNNNNNNNNNNNNNNNNNNNNNNNNNNNNNNNNNNNNNNNNNNNNNNNNNNNNNNNNNNNNNNNNNNNNNNNNNNNNNNNNNNNNNNNNNNNNNNNNNNNNNNNNNNNNNNNNNNNNNNNNNNNNNNNNNNNNNNNNNNNNNNNNNNNNNNNNNNNNNNNNNNNNNNNNNNNNNNNNNNNNNNNNNNNNNNNNNNNNNNNNNNNNNNNNNNNNNNNNNNNNNNNNNNNNNNNNNNNNNNNNNNNNNNNNNNNNNNNNNNNNNNNNNNNNNNNNNNNNNNNNNNNNNNNNNNNNNNNNNNNNNNNNNNNNNNNNNNNNNNNNNNNNNNNNNNNNNNNNNNNNNNNNNNNNNNNNNNNNNNNNNNNNNNNNNNNNNNNNNNNNNNNNNNNNNNNNNNNNNNNNNNNNNNNNNNNNNNNNNNNNNNNNNNNNNNNNNNNNNNNNNNNNNNNNNNNNNNNNNNNNNNNNNNNNNNNNNNNNNNNNNNNNNNNNNNNNNNNNNNNNNNNNNNNNNNNNNNNNNNNNNNNNNNNNNNNNNNNNNNNNNNNNNNNNNNNNNNNNNNNNNNNNNNNNNNNNNNNNNNNNNNNNNNNNNNNNNNNNNNNNNNNNNNNNNNNNNNNNNNNNNNNNNNNNNNNNNNNNNNNNNNNNNNNNNNNNNNNNNNNNNNNNNNNNNNNNNNNNNNNNNNNNNNNNNNNNNNNNNNNNNNNNNNNNNNNNNNNNNNNNNNNNNNNNNNNNNNNNNNNNNNNNNNNNNNNNNNNNNNNNNNNNNNNNNNNNNNNNNNNNNNNNNNNNNNNNNNNNNNNNNNNNNNNNNNNNNNNNNNNNNNNNNNNNNNNNNNNNNNNNNUAUACACUUAUAAUUAUACAAAUACAGAUCUUAUUAUACAAAUUACAAUGUAUAAAUGAAUUUAACAAAACUGAACAAUUUGUAUAAAAUUGGAUGUUUGUAGCGAAUUAUACAAAUCAAAAGCUCCAUAACAAACAUAAAAUUUGUUAUGGAGCGCAAUUAUGCAAACUAUAGCUAUAGCAUACAAAUAUGAUUUUUAUGUUUGCUAUAUGUGAAAGUUGCUUCAUUAGAAAUGUAUUAAAUUUUCUUUUUAGUUUAUAAGUUUUUGGUUAAAUGACAGUAGAAUUUUGUCUAAUAAUUUAGAAAUUUAAAUUAAAUUACUUAAACUUUAUUGUCUAUUAGUAAGAAUUUUGAUAACAAAAAUUAAGAUAUUGUAUUGCAACAAAUGACCGGAUAGAUAGGCUCCAAUGGCAACUCUAAGCAUUAAAAUUCACAUGAAUUCUUUGAAGGUUGUGUAAACAUCUUGAACAUUAGGACAAUAAGAUAAAAGAAGAUUAGGACCGUAUCUCCAAAUUUCUAGUUUAUGAUUUAACUAUCUAUAUAAGAUUAAUUUUUUUUUUAUGGAUAGAAAAAUAGUGUAUUCAUUCACUUAUUAUUAGUAUACAUUUAUAUUUAUAUUAUGUCGGGUAAUAAUAUAUAUAUAUUAAGAAAUCGAACAAUUUAUGUAUACACUACAAUGAAUACACUUCAUUGAAGGUUCUUUUUUAUCUCUUGAACAACAGGUAUACUUUGCAAUUCAUGUAUAAAUAUCUAUGUAUUCAUUCACUCAAAAUUUAUUUACACACCAUAUUUCUUUAGUGUGUAAAUGAGGAAUGCACAUGAAAUUUAAAAUGUUCAACAGUAAUAAAACAAGAACUUACAUGACUAAAAUAUAAAGUUAUGGGGUGAAUCCACAAAAUCAGAAUUUCCAUUCUUAUGAAUAAUCCUAGGAUAACUUUCUUAACCAUGACAUUGAUAUUCAUAAUCAAUUACUUUUACCUAAAUUUUCGCCUAAAACAAAUAUAACCUUCCAUUUCAUAAAUUAAAACCCCCAAAAAUUGAACCACGAUAUAAAAGGGAAUUAAACAUAGACGAAUUUAAAAGUUAAACACAAACAAUAGACGAUGAAUGUUUUUUUUUACAUAGAACUCUAAUAAACAGUAAAUUAUUUUUUAUUUAAAGUAAUGAAGAAAAGAAUUAAAUAAAUAUUUACAUAAUCAAUAAAAAGACAUCAAUCAAAAGAAAUUGGUGUGCGUAUGGGAAAGAAGAGAAAAAAAGAGAGGAUAAAAAACAAACUUCCCUAUAAAAAAGGACACUAGAUGCUACCUCCUAAAAGUUAUUUAAUUUAAUUAAAAAAGUUUUUCUCACGUUAUUAAUUGCAAAAUUUAAUUAUUAUUAUUUUUUUUUGUUAAAAAAAAUAAAAGAAGGCAAUAUAUUGCCAAUUAGUAAAAGAGGAUGCCAUAAAGAAAUUAAGAUUUUUUUAUUUAAUCUGAUAUUUCUGGGGAAAACACACACUACAUCAAAAUGGAUCUUUAGCGGUAAUUAGUUAGCAAUUGCAGCUAAAUAUUUAUCUUUAGCGGCAAUUAAUUAGCAAUUGCAGCUAAAUAUUUAUUUUUAGCAGCAAUUAACACUCUUUGUAUAUGUCCCUAAAGGCUUUAGCGACAUUGGAUCUUAUGACACUUAACUAAUGUCGGUAAAGACUUGAGCAUUCUUUAUUAAUGUGUCUAUUUAUUGCCGCUAAAAAAUGUUUUUGUUGUAGUGACAUUCUUAUUUCUUUAAUGGGUUGAUCUCGUUUAUGAUUUUUUUAAAUUCUGAAACUUGUUUUUUUUUUUUAAAUUUAGAAACAAGCAUUCGUUUUUUUCGAUUGUUGAUGUCAUUUGUUACUUUAGUUUUUUAAUCAGGAAUCUAAUUUUUUGGAAUAUGUAUCUAUUUGUAUUUUGAUUUGUUUUAGGAAUUUGAUAAAAAUUUUUUGAGAAAUAAGCUUUUUCUUUUGUAUGAAUCUGCAUGACACCAAUAUUUUGUUUGAAAAUAGUUAGAUAUGUUAGAUUUCAAAUAACAAUCUUCUUAAUCUCUUUAUAAAUAUAUUAGAAGUUUAUGGGAUAUUUGAUAUGCCUUUUAAAAAUAUAUAAUACCCUUUUUGUAGGCAUGAACUACUAUUUAGGAUGGAGUAUCCUUAACAAUUAGGGUGUGCAAAAAUCGAACUGACCAAUAAACCAAACCUAAAAAAGUGUUAUUGGUUUAUUGUUAUUGGGUUACUGGAAUAAAAAAAAAUUAUCGGGUUAUAGAUUCGGUAUUGGUUUUUAAUAUUGGGUAAUCGAUAACCCAUUAAGCCUAGUAAUUUGCUAAAUUUACUUGUACAUAAUUAUUAUAUAUUUAUCCUUUAGCCUUCAAUUCACACUUCAAAGUGACUUUUAAUUCACAACUUCACAUUAUACAAAAUGUUAUCGGUUCGGUAUUGGUUUUUAAAAUUGGGUUAUUGGGUAAACCGAUAACCCAUUAAGCCUAGUAAAUUUACUACAUUUACUUGUACAUAAAUAUUAUAUAUUAAUCUCAAUACCUUACUAGUUACUGUCUUUAUCCCUUAGUCUUCAAUUCACACUUCAAAGUGAUUUUUAGUUCACAACUUCACAUUUACAACACGUCAAAAUCUAAAGUAAGAACCUUCUUCCUCUUAAUUUCUCUUUGUGUUACACUUGUAUAGUUUUUUAAUUACAUUAUUGUGUUGUUGCGUCAAAUUUAUUAGAGAAGUUAUAUAUUUAUUUUAUAAGUAUUUUCUUAUUGGUUAAACCGAAAACCGAACCGUUAAGGACUAAAAUCGAUACAAAAUCUCUUAUUGGUUUGGUUAUUGGUUUGACUUAUUUAAAAAUCAAAAAUCAAACCGAUAAUACAUAAAACUGAAUCGAUCGAUGCACACCCCUACCAACAACCUUAACUGAAAAUGAAUACUUCUGGUAGAGUUCCAAUUAAAUUUAGGGAAAAUGCAUAAGUACCCCCCCCAGCCUAGGCCCAAAAUCCUUGUGACACUCCUAACCUUUANNNNNNNNNNNNNNNNNNNNNNNNNNNNNNNNNNNNNNNNNNNNNNNNNNNNNNNNNNNNNNNNNNNNNNNNNNNNNNNNNNNNNNNNNNNNNNNNNNNNNNNNNNNNNNNNNNNNNNNNNNNNNNNNNNNNNNNNNNNNNNNNNNNNNNNNNNNNNNNNNNNNNNNNNNNNNNNNNNNNNNNNNNNNNNNNNNNNNNNNNNNNNNNNNNNNNNNNNNNNNNNNNNNNNNNNNNNNNNNNNNNNNNNNNNNNNNNNNNNNNNNNNNNNNNNNNNNNNNNNNNNNNNNNNNNNNNNNNNNNNNNNNNNNNNNNNNNNNNNNNNNNNNNNNNNNNNNNNNNNNNNNNNNNNNNNNNNNNNNNNNNNNNNNNNNNNNNNNNNNNNNNNNNNNNNNNNNNNNNNNNNNNNNNNNNNNNNNNNNNNNNNNNNNNNNNNNNNNNNNNNNNNNNNNNNNNNNNNNNNNNNNNNNNNNNNNNNNNNNNNNNNNNNNNNNNNNNNNNNNNNNNNNNNNNNNNNNNNNNNNNNNNNNNNNNNNNNNNNNNNNNNNNNNNNNNNNNNNNNNNNNNNNNNNNNNNNNNNNNNNNNNNNNNNNNNNNNNNNNNNNNNNNNNNNNNNNNNNNNNNNNNNNNNNNNNNNNNNNNNNNNNNNNNNNNNNNNNNNNNNNNNNNNNNNNNNNNNNNNNNNNNNNNNNNNNNNNNNNNNNNNNNNNNNNNNNNNNNNNNNNNNNNNNNNNNNNNNNNNNNNNNNNNNNNNNNNNNNNNNNNNNNNNNNNNNNNNNNNNNNNNNNNNNNNNNNNNNNNNNNNNNNNNNNNNNNNNNNNNNNNNNNNNNNNNNNNNNNNNNNNNNNNNNNNNNNNNNNNNNNNNNNNNNNNNNNNNNNNNNNNNNNNNNNNNNNNNNNNNNNNNNNNNNNNNNNNNNNNNNNNNNNNNNNNNNNNNNNNNNNNNNNNNNNNNNNNNNNNNNNNNNNNNNNNNNNNNNNNNNNNNNNNNNNNNNNNNNNNNNNNNNNNNNNNNNNNNNNNNNNNNNNNNNNNNNNNNNNNNNNNNNNNNNNNNNNNNNNNNNNAGUUUUUUCUUGAUUUUAUUUUGUUAGCUUUUCGAAGAAAGGAGCAAUUUAACUUAUGAUAAUGGAGGUUUUUUUUCCAAACAUGAAGAACAAUAAUAAAGAAGAAGACAAUUGAGUUAAUAUUUAUUUUUUCCAAGUUUAUUUUAACACAUGACCAAUUUUUAUUGGUCAGUGCUGUCUAAAAGCUGCACCCACGCGCCUAACAUAGGUGAAAUCACGGACUCAGCCACGUAGGCCGUUAUGUGUCUCAGGGAUUUUGGGCAUAGGUUGGGGGGGUACUUAUGCAUUUUCCCUUAAAUUUAAACACAUCUUGUAGGAUCCAAUAAAAUUUUGAUACGUACAAAUGUCUCUACUUCAAGACUUGUUGGAGUGUAGACUUGAUGAAACUCUAAGACAAGAGUUGAAGUAUUCAUUUAUGGAGCUUCCAUAUUUGUGAUUUUGUAGUUUCAAUUUUGCAGAUCGAGAGAAGAGAAGAAUGACAGAUUGAUCAUAGCCUUUCCUCCCACAUCAAAAGGAGAGUAAAAUCGAAGAGUUUUAUAAAGGAAAAAUUAUUUAAAUACCUAUCUUAUUUUACUACAAUCUACAAAAUUCUCUACGAUUUCAAAAAAUUACAAAAAUUCCCUGUUAGAUAUAUCCCUAUCCCUUCUUAGAUACAUUCGUGAGCUAUGUUUUCCUGAAUAACAAUGUAUCUAUGUAUUCGAAACUCGAAUACAUCCGUGAGCUAUGUUUUCUUGAAUAACAAUGUAUCUAUGUAUCCAAAAUCCUUUAAUUUAAAGGAAUUUUUAUAAUUUGGAAAUGAGUAGGAUAAAAUUUAAUUAACUUUCAACACUACGAGAUCCAUGCAACUUUUUACUUUUAUAAAGGGAAAAUACAUAAUUACCCCAUUCAACUAUAACACUUUUUCUAAAAAGACACUUGAACUUUGUAAAGGUCCUACUAACCCCUUAAACAAUUUAAAAGUGGUAAAAGUGUCUCAUUUUUCGGUCAACCCCAAAUUUAAGAAGGGAAGUGAAUACACGCACCAACUAAUACUUACCACGUGUCAAUUAUUUUAUUUUUAUAUUUUUAUUUUCAUAUAUGUUAUUCUUAUUCUAUUUGUUUUUCUAUAAAAAAACAAAAUCUCUAUUCUUCUUCAAUGUUCCAUUCUUCUUCAAUAUUCAACUGCGCUGGUCUCUUUUUUCACGCUGCCAGUGAUUCUCUACCAUAGCCAUCACCAGUGGUGGAGGGAGGAUUUUCAUCGAGGGAGUUCAAAAAAAAUUAAUCAUGUAAAUAAUAUCCACAAAUAAACGGGUCGAAUCGGAUAUAAACGGGUCGGAUUAAACGGUCGAAUCAAGAAAAAACAGAAUUUUUAAUAUUUGACUUUAUAAUUAGGGAUUAAACUAAUAAAUCCUAAAUUUCCAAUCAGCGUUUUAAUUUUUUGGAACUAAACAUCGUUUUCUAAUUGCAUUAUUAUUAUUUUAAAAAAUAAAACGCCUGAAAUAAGCUGAUAAAACAAAAUGCCUCUACCCGGAUUCGAACACGCGACCUCGCGUGCAGUAGAGCAAAUUCCUGAACCCCCAACGCCACUGAGCUACGCCUUUGGUGUAUGUUCAGGGGGUUCAAUAGUAUAUAUAUACACAUAUAUUCAAAAUUUAAUCUUAUAUAUAUAGUGUAAUUUUUCGACGAUGAACCCCCUUCAUUCAACGUAAAUCCGCCCCUGGCCAUCACCCACAUACUUUAACACCAUCUCAAUCAUUUUCUCUAGCAAAUCAAAAAUAAAAUUGAAAAAUAAAAAAUACUAUCAAAUUUCAGGCGCUUCUUCUUCGAUCGUUCAAUCAUUUUUGUGUACUUCGCCUUUAAUUUUUGCUCAAAAUUAACAUUUGUUGUAUCUACAAAGACUGAAAUUUCUCUCUGACUCAUAUAAGGUAUUUUUUUACUGGGUUUGAACGUGACCCCGCUGAUUCUCCCUCCGUUGUCGUCAAAUCUCCGAUGCUUCUCUCACUUGUCCUUUCCGAUCUUCCUCUGCAACCUCUCUCUGCCUUCAUAUCGUUUUCUGUCAAUAAUCUCAUUAAUUUGAUCUCCCUCAGCAAAAAAUGAGUCAGAGAACUCUUCUGGGUAAAAGUAGAUGAAGGAGAUAGAAAUUAAAACAAAAACCAUAAAACAAAUAAAAGUAAAAGAAAAUAAUAUUUUAAUUAAAUAAAUGUUAAAAUAAAUAAAUAAUAUUUUUUUUACUCGUCUCAAUCGUCACUGGCGAGUGAAGUACACUCCAUGUACCACAUAGGAUCAUAAGGGGAUAAUAAAUCCACUCUGAACAAGAAUAAGUGGGUAUUAGGACCUUUUCAAAGUUUCAGUGUCUUUUUAAAAAAAGUGUUAUAGUUGAAUGGGGUAAUGAUGUAUUUUCUCUUUUAUAAAAGGCCAAACACAUACACAACCCCUCAAACUUGCCCUCAUUUUUCAUUUUGGCACUCCAACUUAGCCUUAUUCCAUUUUAACCCUUAAACUCCAUUUUUUUUGUACCAUUUAAACACUAAUACUAAUUUUUAUGAUAUUUUUUUUAUUUAUGUUCUUCAAUUGCAAUUUUAAUUUUAAAAAUAGAUGUGUGUCUGUUAAUUUUCGUAAAAAAAUUAAACAUUUGCGAACGAACAUAAAAUUUUUUAAACAAUAAUAUUAUUUUUUGAGAUUUCUCUGUAUUUUUGCAUGAAAGUAAAUUGACGAAAGUUCUUUGAUUUUCUUUCUUAAACAUUCAAUUAAAUUAAAUAACACUAUUUAUUUAUUAUUUCUUAUCAUCUAGGCUAUCUAAAUUUAACGCAAAUACUCAUUUUUUAUUUUUAAUAUAAAUCAAUAUGAAUAAAAAACUCAUCUUCAAUACGAAUAAAAAAGUCUCUUGUUCAUUGCUAAUAACACUACAAAAAAAUGUUAAAACUCGACUGACUUUAAUUUGUUAGAUUGUCGGUAAUUUUUAAGAAAGAAAACCAAUACAAUUUCGUCGGUUAUUUUUCACAUAAAAAUACAUAAAACUCUUAAAAAGAAAUUUUUAGUUUUUAAAAAGAAUUAUUUUUUGUUAAUUUUUAUUCUUUUUUAACUAAAAUUCACUGACACAUGUCGAUUUAAAAAUAAGAAGUUUCAAUUGAAGAAUAUAUAUAAAAAAUAAAGAAAUCAUAAAAAUAGUAUUUCGUGUUAAAAUGGUACAUAAAAAAUGGAGUUUAAGGGUUAAAAUGGAACAAGGCUAAGUUGGAGUGCCAAAAUGAAAAAUGAAGGCAAGUUAGAGGGGUUGUAUAUGUGUUUGGCCUUUAUAAAACAUAACUUAAAUUUAUAUGAUAUACACACUUUUGAGGCUUUAGAUAUCAUAGCCCAAAAAACAAAUCCGUGCGAACCUAGAUCCAAUACACCCCAUAUAAUACAUGCUAUGGACUAUGGUCGUGACAAUGAAUUUUAAAGAUUACAUCAACCACCUGCUGGUCGGAGAUCUCAAUGAAAAAGAACAAUAAAAAAAAAGGAUAAAUGGACAAGAAAACAGAGUUAUAGACUCUGUAAUCUCCACAAAGAAGUUGGCAACCUUGUGAUCAGUUGGAUGAAAUUACAAUGUACAUUUUUUUAAUCUCAAGUUGAUGACCAUCCAAAUUAACUUCACUAUAAAAGCAAUGACAUUAUUAUCAAAGUAAUCCAUCCAAAGGACAAGAAAACUAGGAAAGAACAGAAAAAUCAAUUUUUUUUACCCAAUUAAAUAGCAGAAAUGGCCGGAGCAAGCUACAAAUUAACCAUGUUUUUCAGCUUUGUUCUAUUGUUCCUUCUCUCCAUUAACAUAGCAGAAAGUAGAAUUGUUUCCUGUAAGUAUGACAUAAGUGGCAUAAUACAUAAAUAUGUUUUUAACUUGGCCUCAACUCACGUUUAUGCCCUCUGACUUUGGGUAUGCGCAAGUAGAUACUUGAACUUAUAUAAAGUUGAAUAAAUAGGCACACACGUCCUACGUGGCAUCCUAUAUGUCAAUUUGUAUAUUAUGCCACAUAUGAUUCAUGUGUCUACAAGUUUAAGUGCUUACAAAGUUGGAAGACAUAAAUGUGAAAUAAGACCAAGUUAAAGGAUACAUUUAUGGAUUAUGCCUAAAUUUUAACCUACUAAUAUCUAGCAUAAUUUUUAGUAUUUUAGUUAAAUUGUCUAUUAAUUUAUUUAUCAAUAAUUAUUUUCUUGAUGGUGCAGCUGGAAUUGGGACGAAUUCAGGUCUGAUAUGUAGUAAGAUUUAUGGUGCAAAUAUUGGAGAUACAUGCUUCAGCAUUAUGCAACAAUUUAGUGUGACCGCUAAGGACUUUACAACUUUCAAUCCCAAUCUCAAUUGUGAAAAAAUGUUCGUUGGUGAAUGGGUAUGCCUUGAUGGUUCCUUCUUCUAAGAAUAUCGACAAGGGAAUAUUAAGCAUAAACAACUUAAAUUACUUGGUAUUUUUGUUGGGAAAGAGAAGACAUCUUUAAAUUUAAAGCUAAUAAUAUUGUAUGAAUAAAAUUAAAAGCAAUAAUGUUGCUUUUGUGAUGUGUCUUGGUUCUCUUUUCCUUAAAAUUCAUAUAUAAUGAAAUCAUGUUGCUAGUUGAUUUCUUAGUGUGUUUCAUCAUUAAUCUUUAUAUAACUUAGCUUGUCUUCACUUAAUCCAACAUGGUGUUCACCUCUCAACAAUAACUAGCAAGAAAGGGGUCAAUAAACUUGGAGACCCUUGGCUUACACGAACUGCAAUACUAUUUUGUUUGGUGUAUCAUGUAACGUUUGUGACAUAGGACGGGGCGUUGAUGAGGGCAUGUCAAGUAGGAUUGAUGACAAACAUCCAAGCUAAGAAAAAAUCAUGUAACUGAGGUGCACAUGAUAUUUUAGGUGAAUCCCACAUUAAAAUGGGAGAGGAAAGUGAAGAGCUCUGUAAGUCAUAUCUCAAGUUCACGACUCUAAAUGACGAAUUUGUGCGGGCCUAGGCUUAGAGCAAAGCUUGUACUCCAUUACUAUGAUAGUGGGGCGAACCUCAAUGAGUAUGUUGAGUUCCUAAGGCGGUGUAUGUGACGCCCAUGAUGGAGGCUGGGUUGAUCAGGACAAAUCAAGCUUGAUUGACAGAUUUCUAGGCUAACAAGCUUUUGAAGAUGACGUGCACAUGACAUCUUAAAUAUCAGAAUGAGAGAGGAAAGUGAAGAAUUUUAUAAGACAUGACUCAGAUUUACAUGAUAUACACACUUUAAGGCUU
rnacentral:lncRNA from 1 species